rnacentral:lncRNA from 1 species
UGAUACGUCUGGUAUACAAGCCGGUUCGCCAUACCAAAUAUCGGUGAGUCAUCCAUGCUAUAUAUCCUGAUCGAACUGGUACCGGAAUUUCAGUAGCAUGGCUCUUCAUGAAAUCACCCUAACCUGACAGGGUUCGAAUUAUGGAGGCUAGGAUUCUGUGCUCAAAUUUAGAUCAUUUGGCACUUGAAUUCUCCAAUAAGUGAGAUUGGAUAUUUAUUUUGCGAGUCCAGCCAAGGUUCACGCAGGAAACUCCCUUUUGAUCCCAUCCCAAAAUCGAAAUCCUAGAAAGAGCUGUCAUCCCCCCUUCCUCCACCCUUCUUCCAAACCCAACCCGAAGCUUUCCAACUCCGAUUCGAUUUUAUAGAACCGGAAUCCCCAUUCACGGCCGCCCCCCACUUCGAAUUCUAUGGCGAUGGAUAGCUCAGCAUCGCGGUUCCCUUCCCUCGCUCGACCGCGCCAGAAUCCCUGAUCUUUCGCGCCACCGUCGUCGUGGGGCUCGCCCUAGCCGAGCUCCCCGCCAUCGUCCUUUUCCGCCGCCCGCUAGAUGCGUUCCAAGCGCUCAUCUUCGCCUCCUCGGAGGCGAUCCUCCACCGCGAAGGCUACCCCCGUACGCAGCGUGACGCCGCUGGUGCGCUGCCGCGUGUCUCGCCGGCGCGGCGGCGGCGAUGGCCCGGGCGGUGGUAGCGCGAACUUGUGCGCUGGGGCCGGGACGCGGGAGACGGUUUGCCGGGGAGGAGAGGUGGUGAACGGCGGAGUUUGGUUCCAGCGGACUCGUUGGCUGCCUAAAGGUUCGUGUCCUCUGGAUUAAUUUCCUGUAAAUAUUUGACAUGGCUCUUGAAAAGGAGGAACCCAACAUAGGGAAUGCCACGAGGAGGCAUUGGAUGUUUUCGCUUCUGCCGCUGAGCCUCAAAAAUUAUAUCCACGGGAGUUUCAUGCCAAAAAAAAAAAAUCGAAUAUUUAUACUGCAAAUUUGAAAUGUAUUAUUUAAGAAAGAUUGCUGCAUUUGUAAAGUUAAACAAAAAGUAUAUACAAUUACAGCAGCAAAAGUUCUCCGCUCGCUCGAUCUUAGUCCUCCAUGCAUAAACUUGGAAGUAUGUGUUUGCUGCAAUGGAUUGUUCCCCUCUUCCUAAUUUUUUUUAUUUGUGCGUAUAAUCGAUACUAGUUAUAACUUAUGUGCAAAUGUAACAAAGAUUUUAUAUAUGGGAUAAGAAAUUUUAGAAACAUUAUAAUGUAGCUUGGAUUUUAAAAUUCUUUCUCUGUAAGUUUUUCAAAACUUUAUUUAAUAUAUUUUAGUUUUUCUAAAGAUAAAAUCAAGAAAAUUCUUUUUUUUAAAAAAAAAAUUCUCUUAAACUUCUUUUCGGAUUCCGCCGGUAGAAGAAUCCUUUCGUUAUAAAAAUUCAGCAUUUUUUAAAACUCUACGGGGAGAUCUAAUUAGGCUUAUGUAUGGAAAUUGAAAAACAAAAAACUAUAGCUAUUUUUAUAUGGUGUUAGGGUUUCCUUCCAUGUAUAUUUACCAAGUUAUUUUCAUCAACUAUUUUAAUGACGUGUGCAUUGAUUUGUUUGAUGACAUAUUUAAAAAAGGCAAAAGAAUCUAAUGAAACUUAUUUAUAAAACAAUAGAUUAUAGGUUGCUUACUAUAUCCCUGAUUUAUUGUUCAAGAAUUAUAGAAUCAGCUACAACAAUAUCACCGCAUGAUCUUUUAUCAGAAUGAAGCUUAAUUUACUCUUUCUCAGAUAUAACAAUGAUGUCCAUUGUCAUCUCCCCCCUUCUCUCUAAUAGAAAUCUAUUUGUAUUUGCAUGUAUGGAUUGAGCAACACUGCAGAGAAUGAAGUGAUUAAUUGGUGAGCAAUUAUAGCUCAUCAAAUAAAAUAAUGUGGAUGUAAUCAGGGCAAUUUUUGCUAUCUAUAAUUAUUGAUUUAAAUAAUUUGAUGAAACUAAGAUCCAAGAAGACAAGAUUUUGGUGCAAUGGUAAGGUUACUCUAUUAUGACUUAGAUAGUAUGAAUUCAAAAUGGAAAAACAGCCUUUCCACACAAUGGAUAAGAUUGUGUAUCUCUAAACUUUUCUAAACUUUGUAGUGUCAAAAAUCUCGCCUAUCAAAAUAUAAAAGCCUGCACCAACUGCCUCAUGUCAUGUGGUAAAGGAAUUUUUUUGUGACCUAGAAAUGGGCACUUCAUAAUAUCCCCCAAGAAAAGAUUCUAAGUUUUUUUUAAUAACUUCUAUAUUAAUUAAAACUUAUUUGAAUAAUAAAUAUACUGUUAUAGUAAAUCCUACAAGUCAAUGAAAAAUCCAAGAUCCAUUUUAGGAUUAGUCCAUUUAUGAAGCAUAAGAAUGCUUUUAUAAAACAUAAUUUAUCGUGUAUCUAUCUAAAGUCAACUCUCAAUUGAAGCGUGCGCUAUAGGCGUUAACAGAAAAAAUAAAUAUCUUGAAGGCACAUACUAAUUAUAUAUCAUUUAGCUAUAUGAUGCAAGAUUAUAAUAUAAUCAGCAUGUAAUUUGGAUGAUUGCAUCCAAAUAUUGUAAAAAUGGAUAUGUGAGAUGGAAAACCCAUGUGUGGAACUUUCUACAUGGAUGGUUGCACUAAAAAUUGAAAUCAAGAGAUGUCAUGAGGAGACAUAACAAUGGUUGCAAUAAAAAAAUAUGAUAAGGAAUAUGAUAGUGAAUGGAUGCGAUAGGUUUGAACCAAUAAGCACAUAUUUAUAAACGACUGUUGGUAAGGGACACGAUGGUAACGGAAUGCAUCUUUUCAUAAGUGAUUAUUAAUAACCUAUAAAUAUACUAAAUAAGAUCUCAACUGACUCACUUCUUUUUGUCACCAUAAUCAUUAUACGGUAUUACCAUUCUGUUCUUUUUUUUUUGUUCUUUCUUUCCCUUUAUUUCUUUUCCAAAAAGUUUGUAUUUCUAACAAUCCUUGUGUGGUCAUCAGACUAAUGAUGAUGACACAAGAUUUAUUCUUCAUCUCAAAUUAUUAACAUAUCUGCAUUCUGAAACCAAUAUUGAUAAUUUUCUUUUCCAAACAAGGGAAUCAGUAUCAAUAGUUCAUGUGAUUCCAAUUGGAAUGAGUUCCAACUGCAUUGGACCCACCUUAGGUCUAUAAAUUUCUUACUAAUACACUGCAACACUAGACAUUAUUAAUCAAAUAGUCAUAUGCAUCAUACAUGUGGAGAUUUGAAGUAUACAACAACCAAGGAAUUUAAUGACUUCAACCCAAGAUCUAACAGAAGCCUAUUCAUUAAAAUCCUAAGGACUCGUUUGGUUCGCGGAAAAAAAGAGAGGAAAGUGUGGUCAAUGAAAAGGAAAGAGAUGCCUCUUAUUUGGUUGGAGUUUUCAAAGGAGAGAGACAGAAAAGUUAUAUUCUCGUGGAAAUAUGAUUUCCACAUUUCAUGAGAAAAUCUUUCUUAUGAGCAAUAUGAAAAAAUUACUUUUCCGUAAUCCAAAAAUCAAAACAUUUUUAUUUUUUUUUUAAAAAGUCCUUCAGCAUCAAAUCAAAAAUUCUUAUUUGAUCCAAAACAUUAAAGACCUAAUUUCUAUUAAGGAUAUAAAUAAAAUUAUAAAUAACUUUUUUAGAAAAGUGGAUGGUCAACCAAACAACAGCAUUCUGUGAAUUUGUCACUUUCUUAUGAUCAACCAAACAUACCAAACUUAUUUUUUUAAGUAUCUAUCUUUUUUAAAAUUUGCUUUUCAAAAAUUAUAUUUUUAUAAAAAAAAAUAUUCCCACCAAUCGAGCCGUAAAUGUACUGUGAGUCGUGAUCACGCUAAUACUUUUCCGCGAGACAUUUUAGGCACUACAACACGGCCUCCAUGGUGGAACCCUUAUAUAAGCCAGUCGCCCCUCGGUCCAAAAGUCCGAAGCCGCUUCAAGCUGCUCUCCAAGCGUAGCCGGGCGUCCCCCACUCCCAAAGCCCUAAUUUUUCCUCCCCAAACCCCCGUCUUUCCUGAAAUGGGACGGCGGAAGGGCGGAAACAAGAGCCUCGCUCCGGGAGGCAGCCAGAAGUGCAGCUCGAGUAAUUGCCUCCACGACGCGGCCACCGGUACGAGCAUCGCCGGCGGGGAGGAGGUGGACGAGGUGAUCGAGGAGAGGACCGAGAGCUCCAACCUCGAGAACCCGCCCGAAUCCCUAGCCCUAUCCAGCAGCGAUAAAACCAGCGCCGACUAUUACUUUGAUUCCUACUCCCACUUCGGUAAUGCGUUGUUGUGACUCGAAUUCGAUGCGGUUUUAUGUGCAUUUGGGCGAUUUUGGUGGUUUAAAUCGAAAAAAGUUGUCAUCUUUUGAUCUGAUAUCGUGUUUUUUGCUUGCCCUGUUGUUCAAGAUUUAAUUCAUUUGCAUACUGCUGUUGUUUUUAAUAUUUGUUUUGUUCAUUGGAUGCCUAAUUCUUAUUCUGAGGUGCCAAGUAUUGUUGCUGUUCUGCAGGAAGAUUUUUUCUGGUUUUCUUAAGAAUGUAGAGUCUCGGCACUAGUUCGUUCACAAAAUAAAAAAAAUGUUUUUGUUCAUUCAUCUCUCUCUCUCUCUCUCUCGUUAUCUACUUUUCAUAUCAUAAUUUAGACAAAGGUAAAGCAAUUUUUGUUUAUUUAAUGACUUGAGGCAUCCAGUAGUAUAAUAUUCUGUUCUCGUGAGUUAGAUAUAGGAGUUUCUUAUAUGUGAGAGUUGCUCUUGAAUUUGUUGUUUGUAGCUCAGUCAGCACAGCAACUUACGUUUCUGUUCUCCUUGUAUGCAGGCAUUCAUGAAGUAAGUACGUCACAUUCAGCUUUCAGAAGAAGUGUUGGUAAUGAUGGUUUGUGAAUGGUGAUGAUAUGAAAGGACUUACAUACAAUUAUAGUUCUAUUAGAAAAGUGAACUUUUUCCUGUUCUUUGGCAUUUAAGAGAGGAUCAUAUGGCUUUAACGAAUAGACAGAGAGACAGACAGACAGACAGACAGACAUUUACAUUGCUUUAAUUAUUAACUGUUAUGUGAGAUUUGGGUUCUAAGCUAAAAUAUGAUUUAUUAGUAUGUAGCCCUACGAUUUUUAUUAGUGUCUUUAACUUUCUUUUAAGCUUGGAACCAGAAUAUCUAUUACCUCCUAGCUACCAUGCUUGUAUCUUCCUUCUUGUCAUCAAGAAACUUAAUACAAAAAGAACAACUCUAAUGGAUAAUCAGCAGACAUUGAUUCCAGCUGAUUUAUCAUGUUUUAUUUUGGUCUAUUAAGUCUCAUCUGAAUGUUUUGGUUAAUAUUCUGUUUUGCUUUCUCUGAAGUGUCCUGAAUUAAUCUCUCUCAAAUCCUUACAUGUACUUCCAACUUGUGAUAUAAGAAAAUGUACAUAAUGCUUUGCAAUAGUGAGUUGUGGAUUAUCUGUUAUUGUGUUUGAUAUUAUUUAUGCACUAGAAGUGUGUUUCAUGAUAAUUUAAGUGCUUAGACAAGUCAUAAUCCUAUUAGUUCUCUUUUUAGGGAGUAGGGAGGUGCGGUAUACUUGUAAGAGGCAGUUUUGGUGUAUGCUUCCAAAAUUUGAGGAUACAUUUGUUUGUACUAUAAACUCAUAUAUUCCUCUUUGGCAGUGCUAUCCAUGAUUUUACCCUUCUGCUGCUCCUAUGGGAGCUUGUGGGCUGCAAUAGCUCAAUCAUGUUGAAGUAGCUGUGUAAUAUGAUAUUGUGUACGUUUUCAGGUGCAUAUGGCAGUUUAUUGAGGUGUUACUUUAGUGAAAGCAGUUUAGCAAUUCAAGUUGGUAGCUGUAUAAAACAAGGAUGCUCAGGACCUUUUAUUUUAACAUCUUUGAGACUAGCUAGUAUUUUAAUUUUCGGAAUUUGCAAUUGUAAUAGUAAUUAAUUUAGUUAUUCUCAUCAGAGAUUCUGUGGUCUUUAUUUGAUUUGUUUUAAGGAAGGGAUUUUUUUAUAGCUCAUGUAUUCAGUGAAGAUAUGUUAUCAUGGUCUGUUUCUGGAGAAAUUUUGAGUCCUCAUAAUCUAUUUAAACAUGUUAUGUUGAGAGUCAGGAGGUAAAUGGAGGUCGAGAUCAAUUGACAUCACUAAAUAGUUCAAACUUGUGGCGGCAUAAAUGUUCAGAGGCUUUAUUUUGGGAGCAUAAAUGUUCAAGGCCAUUUCAAGUGCCAACUGCUAGUUUUUCAUUAUUUCAUUAAGGACAUUCCCCAUUUCCAUCUCUUGAAACAUUUUUGCUACAUAAUUUGCAAGUUUUUUUUUCUCCGGAUUUGUCAGUUCAAGGAUAUUUUUCUUAUUUCACAGAAGCAGGUUGUUUUUAGGCAAUCUUUUCUUUUAUUAUGUUUGAAUUCAAAGUAAGUUAUUCCCUCGUUGUUUUCUUUUGAAUAGUGUUUUUGGCUGCUAAGGUGAUUUAAGGUUGAUUUAUCCAAUGUGAAUAGAAAUGUAUCGAAUAAUAGGAUGCAUCUUUUGAGAGUUAUGAUAGCUAUAUAUGUUAAUUCCAUAUGAUCAGUCGUGUUUUCUGUGAAUAGAUUUUAGGUUACUUCUUUUCUUUUACUGUCUUCUUGCCCUCUUUUUUGAAAAAAAUUUAUUGUAAGAAAGGGAACUUUUCUAUUCUUUCAUAAAAAUGACAUAUUGGCAACUAUGAAAAUGUUGGUUAUAAACCAGCUCAUGAGGGCUAUUAUCUGAAUGAAUCUUCUGAAUUUAUGCUGCUACAUUUAUCGUACUGAAGAGACACCAUUAAGUUUUUAAGUGUUUUCCUAUCAAGCAUUACUAUUUGAUUUGGAAGCUUGGAAUGCUUCGAUUGACUAUGUUGAUCCUGCAGGAAAUGUUGAAAGACGUUGUCAGGACAAAGACUUAUCAGAAUGUUAUUUAUCAGAACACCUUUCUCUUCAAGAACAAGGUGGUUCUUGAUGUGGGUGCAGGAACAGGAAUUCUUUCUCUUUUCUGUGCGAAAGCAGGAGCAAAACAUGUUUAUGCGGUAGGUUUCCUUCCUUUUCUCUCUCUAGGUCUCUCUAUUUGGCAUUAUUACAUGUGACAAGGCUGACUGACUUGAUGAGACUGAGGAGCACAUAUGCUUCUAGGAGCUUGUUUUCAAGAAAUGAGCGGUCAGAUUGGUCGGUAACAUGAUAUACACGACAAAAAAUGUAAAGAAAUUGAGGAUCUGUAACUUAAUCAAGUAGGUGUCAAAUGGAUGGUUUUAAAUACUAUAGUUUACUAUGAUCUAAAAAAUCACUUGUUUUAAGAUGUGUGGAUCAUGAUCCAUUAAAUGGAUUUUCAAUUUAUGUGCCCUAUAAUGUGUGUUACUGUACUAGUGCAAUUGAUACUGUUUAUUUUUGUACCAACUUAAUGUAUAGUUUAGAAACCAUCAAAAUAUAUGAUUUCUGCUUUCUAGGUAUGUCUUUGUAGUGUAAAUCAUGUUUAAUGAUUUAGGUUUUCAAUUUGGAGGCUCUAUGGUUGUUAACAAAAGAUUUUCCUCUGUGGUAGGUUUCAGAUCUGUUAUUCUUCUAUUCUUUAAACCUUUUUUUUUCCAUGUAUUCUCUUUCUUUAUUUACUUCUCUUCUGUAUGGCAGCAGCAGUUAGCUAAAAUAGAAUCAAUAUUAGCAAUGUAGUCUUAUGUGUCAGCUGCCGACAGCCUUUUUAUUCUUCUCACUUCAUUAUUAUCUUAUAUCAGCAAUUCAGGAUUAUCCUUUAUAUUUUUCCCUUAUUUUUAAGUUGGACCCUGCUUAGAUUAUGGAUACAAUUUUUUGCAGAAAUGUGCCCGUCUUCGUAAUCCAUUUCUUUCUUUUUCCUAUUCACUAGAAAUCCAAGUGCAUCCUUCAUCAUCUCCAUGAGUUGUUUCUUUAAUCACAAUCUUACUUAGAAUUAGAUAUAACAACAAAAUUCUGAUUUUUUUCCAUUGGAAGUUUGGAUUUUAUAUUAAGGUCCAUCUUUUUUCACAGCAAUUUGGUAGUGGUGCAAAUAAUCCUCUGCAUUGUUACAAUGGUUCAAUAGACUUUGCAUGAACUUGUUUUCCUUAUCCCUUUCUAACAAUGGAGUGAGAAUUUCAUCAAAAUACUAAAUUAGGCCUUGAAAUGUCUGAGCUCAAUGGUUUGACAUCAAAAAGGUGGAAGGACAUCUGAGGUGGCUGGUGAGUUCCAAGUGGAUAGAGUAAAAUUGGACAUAGGGGGCUUCUUUUCCGUUUAUAUCAUGCAAAAGUGAUGUUUUUACCCCAGAUAACUGUUUGCCAUGCAGCAUGGAUUCUUUUCCCCUGAUGAUCUCUUAUGAUUGUUUCAAUUUUCAAGUUAUUUUACAUCAGUAAUUAAUUCAUGUUGUUAAUUAUUGCAAUCAAAACCCUUCUGCAGAUAGAGUGCUCCCACAUGGCUGACAUGGCAAAAGAAAUUGUUCAAGCAAAUGGAUUUUCUAAUGGUCAUUCCUGUACAUUGUAUUUUUUAUUUUCUGCCACUGCUAUGCAUCUUAAUUGCUUUUGUUAAAUGUUACAGCCAUAACAGUCUUGAAGGGAAAGGUUGAAGAGAUUGAGCUUCCAGUCACCCAUGUAGAUGUCAUUAUUUCUGAAUGGAUGGGUUAUUUCCUACUCUUUGAGAAUAUGUUGAACACGGUGCUGUAUGCACGUGAUAAAUGGCUCGUAAGUGAUGUUUCACAUUCAUUUUACCUUCUUCUUCUUGUCUCACAUGCUGUGUCUCCAAAUUGGAUGGUUUUUCUAGGACAAUAUCCAGUGCGAGAAAGAAUUUAGGUCUGACCAAUUUAGUCCAAAACUCAGAGUAAGCAUAGGCUAGACAUGGCUAUGCCUCAAUGAGAUCCUAAAUAGAUUUUUGGAAAGCAGUAACCUAUCAAAAGGGAGUGACCAGUUAAACAUGUAGAUUGAUUUUAGCAGUUGCAUGGUCCACUUUUCACCAUCCUAGCAGUUUGUGCAAGGUUGUGAUAGCAUAGUGGAAGCAAAUGCUUCUCAUAUAUGAGGCAGUUCAAUAGGACAUUACUAGUAAAAUAUUGUGAAGUGACAUUGAACGUCUAAUAUGUAAUGAUCUUAACUGAAAUUUGAUUGAAUGAAGAUGCAGCUCAGUCACUCAAAUUCUCCGCGGUUUAAUUGUUUUGAAUAAGCUAGGUCUGUCACAUGAUGGCAAUGCAUAUUAAAUUUGUUAUAUCAUGCUGCUAGAUUUGAAGUCAACCUCAUUGCAUUUAUUGCUGUAGCUAUGUGAAGUACAUGGUUUCAAAUGCUGGUAUGUGCUUGUCAGCACAUAUUGCAUAUUGCUGUAGCUAUGUGAAGUACAUGGUUUCAAAUGCUGGUCUGUUCUGGUCAGCACAUAUUGCAUCGCGCCAAUAUCAGCACCUGAUACAGUUCGACUUGGCACCUAUUUAAUCCUUUCUUAAAAAUAUACCCUUUUUAAAAUAUUUUUUAAUUACAAAUGGGUUUUAUUUUUCUUUUAUUUGUUUUGGUACAAUAGCGUAUGUGUGCCGGCACAGCAUGGCACAUAGUAUUAGGUGGGUGAUCAGCAUGCCAACUGACAUUGAUACUUGUAACCUUGGCAAAAUAUGAUUUCAUUCACAGAAAGCCGAGUCCAACCAUCGAAGACUGUCCAUUGCAUAACCAAUAAGAUUUACAGUGAUGAUAGUUGAAUCUUUAUGGCUUUACAUUAGUUAUUUGAUUACAUUUAGUUGUGUCGAUUCAUGUCGAUGAUAUCUUCUGGCGAUUAAAUGGCCUGUCUCAUUAUGUCUGAUCACUAUAUUGAUUGAACCCUAGUUAUCCAAGAGUAAAUGGAAUACCAUAUCAUCACUUAUUUGGUUUUUUUAUCGUCCCUUUUUUCAUGCAGAUUAAUGAUGGAAUUGUGCUACCAGACAAAGCCUCUCUAUAUUUGACAGCAAUUGAGGAUGCUGAAUAUAAGGAAGAUAAGAUUGAAUGUGAGCUUAUUUGUCUUUUGAUUUUUUUUUUUAAAUUAUGGUUUCUGCAUACUUAUAAUCGACACCUUUAGAUGGGAACAUUAUAUCCCUAGAACAUUUUUUGAACUUCUUGUCUUUCAAACAUACUGUGAAGUUUAUGCCGAGACACUGUUUGUCGUGCUUAAUUCUGUUUCUGAUGGUGUAUCAUCUCUCUGCUUGCAGUCUGGAAUGAUGUAUAUGGCUUUGACAUGAGUUGCAUCAGGAAACAGGCUAUGAUGGAACCGCUUGUUGACACCGUGGACCAAAAUCAAAUGGUCACCAACUGCCAGUUGCUCAAGGUGAUUUAGUGGAUCCGUUUUUUCUUAUCUCUGUUGCCUUAAUUCUUCAUUUGAUUAACAGAUUGCUUAAUUUUUUUUCCUUGCUCACUACUUUCAGACUAUGAAUAUUUCAAAAAUGGCUCCAGGAGAUGCAUCUUUCACAGCACCUUUUAAACUUGUGGCAGAACGCAAUGAUUACAUCCAUGCUCUUGUGGCUUACUUUGAUGUCUCAUUCACCAAAUGUCACAAGAUGAUGGGAUUCUCUACAGGUUCUUUUUCUCUAUCUUGGCUAUAAUCAUGAACUUCUUGGAAGAUUUUAUGUAUGUUCUGGAUCUAUGUAUGUACUGUGACUUCCAGCAGCUUGUGAAAAUGGGCAUGCAUUUUUGAAAAUGGGCAUGCAUUUUGACAAGAGUAUCAUGUGAACUUUUCUUUAUUUAACAUUUUGGAAUUUUAGCAUUGCUGCCUUCCGCCCAAACUCAACCUGCAUUUCCCAAGAAAUUCACUGGGCCAGACAGCAGGAGAUGGUACUAUACCAUUAUGCUUCGAAAAGUUGUGUUUAUGUAAAUGGGUAAAAUACUUUUAAGAGCAUUGCUUCAACAAUUGAAUUUCAUGUUCAUGCAAAUAAAAAAUUUCCUGUCAACUACAAAACCUGCGAGUCAUAUGGAAUUCACCUGAUUCUUAAAUUGAAUUUUUGAUAGUGGCCCCGGUCUUUGGAGUCAGGAAACUAGUUGAAUCAAUGAGCUAUAGUUAACCCACAAACUUUUGAGCGGCUGGUGUGGUGCCCAGGUGGUUUAUGUCAUUGAUAUAGUUGACAGGUUACAAUUUUGAGAACUAUCAUACAUUGUAAUAAGCAGUUACCCAUUUGAUAUAUAAGAUUUCUGUCAUUCCUUUUGGUUCAAAUACAGCAAUAUGUACCAGUAUGAAAAGAAUGAUGCAAAUUGUAGGCCUUAAUUGUGCAUCAUCCUCUCCAAAUAUUAGGAUCAUCUCAUUCUCAUGGUUCAGAAAAUUAGAUGUUCAGUUCUAAGCUCCUGUUUGUGCUGCAUAUUCUUAAUUUUACAUGGUUCUGUAUCCAUUCUCACCUUUUGCAUAUGUUUGAUGAUCUCUAACGAAUAGACUGUCUCUACAGGGCCAAGAUCAAAAGCUACCCACUGGAAGCAAACUGUCCUGUAUCUUGAAGAUGUUCUGACCAUUUGUGAGGGAGAAGCAUUGGUUGGGAGCAUGACUGUGGAGCCCAACAAGACAAAUCCACGGGAUAUUGAGAUUAUGCUCAAGUAUUCAUUAAAUGGACAACAUUGCCAGGUCUCCAGUACCCAGCAUUAUAAAAUGCGUUAACCUGUGAUCGUCAUUCAUCUGCAAGAGGUACCCAAUGACUUAUUGACAUGCUUUUAAGUUACAAUUUAUUCUGUUAGGCCAGCACACAGAAUUGGUGUUGCAAUGUGUUAUGAUGUUUGAUGAGUUUAUUUUGUUGUUCCAUCGACAAAAUAAUCAUAGCAUUUCAAUCCAAGAUUUGAUGUUAACCCUAGAUGGAAACUAUCACCAGUUAAGCCAAGGUAGUCAUCCAUGGUAGCAGGUGAAACUCUUGAUUAGUGCUAUGAUUCUGGCUGGUAUAGAUCCUAACAGGAAGUUAAUUGUUGUCAUUAACUUUGUAAGAUCAAUUGGUCCUAGAUAACUUAAUGAAUUAAUUACAACAAGAAACGAUUACUCUCUCGCUGCAGCCUGCGUGAGGGAAAGAGAGAGUGUCCAGGGCAUCACUAGAAUUUCGUGCUUUCUGGGUGAACUAGCGCCCAUUUUUACAGCUCUUAUGAUGCAAUAUAGUUUCUCUAUCAAUUAAAACCACGUAUGUAAUGCCAGAGGACUGGAUUUUUUUUUGUGAUAAAACUACUUAUUAUGAGGCAUAUUCUGCCAAAACACCAUUCCUUUAUUUUUGUACAAGACACUCAUAUUAUGGUACUCGAUUUCUCUUUUUUUAUUUGAAAUGAAAUGGAGGGAAAGUGGGAAGCUGCUGAAAUUAUUAAGGAAAGGAAAUUUACAACAUAUUACGAAGUGAGAGAGAAAAGAAACAAAACAAAAAAGAAAAACUCCCUAAAUUUCAUCAAAUGUAGACACCCUUUUAACUUCAUAUGCAGCGAGCCGCAGGACCAUUAUAAUUUAGUCAAUACAAGGCAUUAAAUCAAAGUGACUUCGGAAUGCCAGGAGAGUCACAUUUUAACUCUGAAAAAAAAUCGUUCUUUUACCUCCAAUUUGUCUCCGUUCUCAACAAUAUCAAUCUGGAGAAUCCAAUCCACCUCUUCCUUCUUGAGAUUAAAUAUGUUCUCAUCUAUCCCAAUUAUCUGAAACUCCAAAACCUAUAUCAAUCACAUCUUUAAGAAGGAAAAAAAAAUCAGCUAAAAGUUGCACACAAGAUCAAACGAUCAACCAGAUCCACUGCCAAUCUGGCAAGACGAGCAGGGAAUCAAGAAGGGAGGACGGGAGGGACUAUUUUGGGGCAGAAACACAGACCUGGCACUUGAUCAAGGGGACGUCUUCUGUCCGGGCGGCCUGAGAUGGCUUCUUUGGGGCAGCAAGAGCAAUAGGAAGGAGAAGCAAACAGAGCGGAGAGCCGUCGGAGAGGCCUCACCAUUGCUCACCUCCUUCGCCCUUCAAAGGGAUUCUCUAGUCAUGCCGACUAGAUCCGAUCAUUGGCUGAUUGGGUCUGAUCUAGUUCAAGCAAAUUCUCAUUCAGAUCUGAACCAUUUACAACAAUAAUUUAUCUACGCAUCCAGAUCGAGUUCCUUAAACUAAAAGGCUUGGAAAAAGGUUUUUUUUUAUUAUUAUUUUAUGGUUGCAACUGUUGUAUUGUAGUAGGUCGGGGGGGAAGCUAAGGCUUCUAUGGUAGCUAUGCUUCCUCAUCUUGCUUCUACUUUGCUUGCUUACGUGAAGUUUCAGCGUCCUUUUCGUCAGGUCCAAAUGAAGUGAGUAGCUCUAACUCCAGAAGCAGCCACCACAAGAACUGCACUUUAUGGUUUCAGUUCUCACUGCUGAUAAUUGUCAUUUGUGUAAGCAUUAAGUCCGAAACCACCGUUCUCACUGCUGAUAAUUGUUUGUGGUACUUUCCACUUAACAGUAAGUUCCCCAUAGGCUAACAAAAGUUUUAUUGUGUUAACAAGCGUAGCAUAAAUGGGAAGCUAAAAAUAUCUUGCUUUAAAAUAUUUUCCUGAAGCUUUCAUUAUCUACAUAUUUAAGUAAAACUAUAAAUACAACAGUGGUGCUGAAAGGCAAUGCAAGGGUAAAAGCAUGCAUGUAAGGUCCAACAUAAUAAUUCAACACUAAAACAUGCAUGUCAAUAUUAUGCGACGUGCUCUAAAGUAUACUGUCCUGAAAAAUUAUGUCCAAACAACUGAACACUCGCUUUCUUGCUGUCAUUUAUGUAUACAGGAAUAUUCGGGACCAAAGUAUGACAAUUGGCAGAUAUGAAACUCAUUCAGUGAAAUAGAAGAUGAUUUAGACAAGUUGCAUCUUAUUCAUAUCCUUUCACCCUGAAUUGAAGAAUGGAAUUGUAUGAAAUUAGUUUCUCCCUGUGGUGGCUGCAGUUUUCACAUAAAUGCUAUGCUUAAUCAUUGACAUGCAGGGACAUCUGAUGGCAAGCGAACUUCUUAUUCAUCAGAUUAUAUGCACAGGUUUUGGCUUUUAAAUUUGUUCUUUCUCAUAUUCUUGAGGCUUGAUAUAUGCUAUGCAUUUUGUAUUUCAAAUUUAUAGUUAGAAACAAAAGGAGUGGUAGAAACAAAAUCGAGCCUAUGUACUCCUCCAUGGUAAGAUAACAAUAUACAAUCUCCAUAGCUAGAUAACAUGAUAUGUACUCCUUCCAUCCAUGAAAGAGCCUAUGUCAACUUCUAAAAGGACAAUAGGUGAUCAACAUAUUUGAUCCAUCUCAUAUAUUCAAAGCAAUGAGUUGCUAGACAAAGAGGUACUUGCUUUAAGCUGAGCUAGUUACGUGUUAAAUUGAGAGAAGAACGACCUAUAAAUGCAAAACAUUUUUGUAGUUCAAGGAAUGGUUUAACGUUUGAAUAAAUUCAUAUAACGAACCAUCAUAAGCCGAUGUUGUUAUGCUAAUUUGCGGAGUGAGUUGGAUGGUAUCCUAAGAUAGCUUCAUCCGAUGACUUUGCAAUAGAUGUAUAUAAUUGGCUCGACUUUCUUUUCUUCCUUAAUGAUUGCAGUGGUGAUACAGGUUUCAAACCUUUUGAUGGUAUUUGGUGACCCAAAUGAAAUUAUCAUGGUGAUCUUAGAUCACCGAUGAUCUUGAUCUCUAAUGAUCUAAGAUCGCCAUAUUUGGUAUGCUUGUUCUAGCCAUUAAAUAUCCUCGGUUAUCCAUGAUUAAUUUGUUUGGUAUAUCAUAAAAAUUCAAAAUCACUAGCCAUAUAAUACCCAAACUACCUUUGAUGUAUUCCAUAUAUUUUGCAAUUAAAAAGAAUUCUCAAACAAAUCAUAGAAAAACAUACAUGACCAUAAAUCAAAUCAUCAAAACAUAUGAUUUUAGACUAAUUCAGCAAGAUCAAAAAUUAAUCAAAACUAAUCAAAGUAACUCUAUAGAAUUAUCAGAACCUCGUAGCUUGGAGAUUUUUUUUUCAAAAAAAAAGAUUAUCAAAUUCUUCUCAGCUAGAAGAGCUUUAUUUUUCAGAUAUUGGCAUUUUUGGAAAUAAUUUUUUUCACUCGAUCGAGGGGCAUUUUUAUUUCUAAAUUUCAACUUGUCGGGGCGAUCUUAAAAAUCUGUCCUCAAGGAUGAGUAUAAGAUCACUGGGUUGGGUGGUAAUUUUAAGAGUAAGGAUGAUUUUGGGAUCGUUACCAUAUAGAAAUACUAGAAUGCAAUCAAAUAUGAUGAUCUCGUCAUCUCCAUCUACAUCACUUAAGAUUUUGAGAUCAUCGCUCUAUACCAAAUGCCAUCCUGUGGUCAUCUGGAAGAAGCAACAUAGAGAGAUUAAAAUUUGCUUCAAGAAUGUUUGAAUAGGUUGGUCUGCUCCUAUCAUGCUUGAACGUUAGGACUCAGUUAUUCUGAUCAAAAGGCUGUGACGAGCACUUGCCAGCAAUUCGACCAACUCAACCUUCCAAUGCAACACUGACACAUGGCAUGACUUUUAGGUCUCCGCUCAGCUGCAUUUGUCUCUUAGCAGCCCAAGUUAAAAAUGCACGGAUUUGGAAAGCAAAACUUCCUGCAUGGUAACUUCAAGAAGCUUCCAUUAUUAGUCCAUGAACCUAUUUACAGUCUACCUGCAAUGUAUGGAAAUAGACCAUUUUUAAAGCCUUACGUCAGCCCUUUCUCGUGAUAAAACAUUUUUGGUUUGAUUACAAUUUUUGAAAUAAUAAUUUUUGUCCAUAUAUAGGGGGGCAACAAGAAGGUAUUUGUGUUCGAAAUUGUUUAUUGUUAUAGUCUAAAAUAUUUAUGGCUUUGUUUCUAAAAUUUAUAUAGUAACUUUAAAAUUUAUUUCAAUUCUUAAAAUUCUUAAUCAAAGAUUAUAUUGCAAAAAAAAUCAUAUAUAUAUAUAUAUAUAUAUAUGCGAGCAUACGUGUGUGCACAUGAAACAUGUAUUUAUAUGUAUGCAUAUUAUUAUUGGAAAGUUAAGAUUCUCUAUAAUUCACGAUUGAGCUAGAGANNNNNNNNNNNNGAGGGAGAGGAAGUCUUUCAAUCAUAACUAUGUAUAUAUUAUAUGAUGAUUAUAAUUGAUUAGACCUAUGCGAAUACAUGGGAUAGCAUGUGGUGUAACCUAGUUGGGUUGGUAGAUUCGCAUACGUUACAACCUAUAUAAUCAUCAGUUUUUGGUAUGGAAACAAUUUGCUUAACUUUACGUCUAUUUUAAGAUAUUUCUAAUAUAUUCGUAUAAGAAUGAAAUCGGAUCGAAUACGGAUCGGAUACAAAAAUAUCCAUACAGAUAUAUUUUUUUGUUUAACAAAUAUAGAUACAGAUACGAAUGUUAGCCAGAUGCAAAAAAUUAUAUCUAUAAUUGUUUUAAAUGAAUACAGAUACAAGUCGGAUACUAAAAAUAUAGAUAUAAAUACGAAUAUAAAUUGGAUAAUUAAACAUUAUGACCACAGAAUCAAAGAUAUUAUUAAGUGGAUGAUAAAUCAAGUUAAUAGUAUGUUAAUGUAGUUAUUUAUUUUUCUUAAAAGUUAAUAAAUGUCAUAUAAAAAUUGAAUAGAGUUACACAUAGAAUCGAAUAUUUGGAUAUGGAUCGAAUAAUUAUCUAUCCAUAUUUAUUUUUUUUAACGAAUAUGAACAACGAAUAUUAAUCAAAUACUUAUAUAUAUAUAUAUAUAUAUAUAUAUAUAUAUGUAGAGAUAUAUAUUNNNNNNNNNNNNNNNNNNNNAUAUAUAUAUAUAUAUAUAUAUAUAUAUAUAUGUAGAGAUAUAUGUUCAAAUAUAAAAAUAAAAUUGCACGAAUAUUAUCCUUCUACUUUUAUUUCUAAAUGUCCGUGAGUAUCAUCAUAUACAGUGAGUACAUUCUAUUCAUGCGAUGCCAUGAUUGUCGUAGAACAGCUGGGAUUGAACGAACGCCCCCUACUAAUUUGGACCCUCUUGGAGUCCAAUCAUCACAUGGCCAGGAUCGUACGGAGAUUCGCGGUAGACCUUUUGUCCGUCUUGUAAAGCAAAACGUGGUUUCCAUUCAUAGGCGUGCCCUCCGAUUACUGUAUCUCUCUCAUUUUUUUUGCCGUUUUAACGGAGAUACCUAGCGGCCGUUAUUUUCAAAAUUAUUUUUUAUUUUUGUGGUCAAAAUUAUUUUUUAUAAUUAAAAAAUGACUGUACUGUUUUCUUUUUUACGACGGCUGUUUAUAUUACUUUUGGGUACCGUCAACAAAAUUCAAAAAUAAAAAUGCCAAAGUAAUAAAAGAUCCUGAUGUGUCCAGAAAACUUCGUCUGAAUGCUGUUUGCAAUAAUUUUUUAUCCAAAAUUUUUCGCCCUCUUAAUUGACAUGCAAUUUUAAUUUUAAUAUAUUAAAUGAAUUAAAAAUACAACAAUAUUCCAUCUCGGGGGUGCAAGGCUUUAAAGUACAAAAAAUAAAAAUAAAAAAUAAAAAAAUCAAACUUUGAUUUUUCUAAAGAAUAAAAGGGUGGCCACGGCCGUCAUAUAUUUAAGGCGAUCGCGCUCCCCGUAAUCAUCGUAUGUUCCCUUCUUUUUAAGAAGGCGACGGCCACCAACUCCGGCAAACGAACCAUUUUUCCUCUCUUUUUCAACCGUUGGAUUUGACAGGUGUCAUGCACCGAAUCGCAUAGCAAGAAACCCGGCACCACCCUUGCAAGCCAAAAAUCCAAUCACGUCAAAGCCGGGCCCUUCAUCAGUUGUACCACACGAUCAGACGGUGCCGACCACCACGAUCUCCCAUGGUCCUGCUCAUACAGUCAAACCCUGGACCAUCACCUGCAUUCCGGUUUCCGACAAGUCAACCGGUCAACAACACCAAAAAUCUCGUCAUCUCAAAUCGGACGGCUCUGAUCGUUCCUCUCGUGAUCCAACCCUCACUCAUGGCUCAUGGGGUGCGGGGGGCCGGGAAGACUCCGGCUGCCAGCUAGAGAGAGAGAGAAAACUCGAGUCGAGGAGAGAGAAAUUAAUAUAAGGGGGUGUCGGUGGGGGGUUAAAAAUAAAAUAAAAUUUAGAGGAGGGGCCGCUUCGUAUAUAAGCAAGAACGUGGAGGGGAUUCGGGGGCUUUAAAACAAAAAAAGCGAGGCCGAGAGAGAGAGAGGCGGGGAGAGAAAGGGAGAGGCGGAGAAGAGGCGGGGAAGGGAUCCGGGGAGGGAAGGCUCGGUUAUCGGUCGUGAAAUCUCCUCAGCCGGCUAAUGGGGGAAUCAAGUGGGUCGGUUUCGGUCGAUGUGGAGAGGAUCUCUCUCGGUGGAAAGGUCAGGUUCUUUCUUAGAAGUAUAUGUUCCUGUUAUGUAUUUUCAUCAGAUCUUUAUAUUGGUUUUUUUAUUAUUAUUAUUUUUGUUGAUUUUUAUGGUUUCAUCGUGUGAAUUACCCGGAUUUAUGAUGAUACAAAUUAUAACGUUCUUUCAAUAAGAAGUUGUUUCUUUAUGUUUAUGAUUUUUUUCCGCUAUAUUUUGUUGAUUUUGAGGAUUUUAUUGGGUGAUUAUUUGGAUUUACGAGGACAUAAUGUGGUUUGGAUAAGGAGUGUUUUUUUGGUAAUAAAAUUUUGGAUUUUGUAUUAUUUUUCUGCAGAGCUGUUAUUGGAGUGUUUUGUUCUUCUAAUCAGUGCUGCAUUUUUGGGGAAUUCAAGGAAAAGUGCAGGAAACUCUAAACUGGGAUAAUACUGGGGUUGCUUUGCAUGUUUGGUUUUCUUUUUUAGUGUGUUGGCGUAAAAUCUAAACACAAUCGUCCUUUCUUGAUUUUGUUUAAUUUAUAAAUUCUUUCAACUUAUAGAAAUAAGUUGACAUUUCUAAUCACUGGAAGACGUAAAUCUAUCUUUGAUUUAUUAAUGGUUAAUGCUAAUGUUCAUGUGGCUGUACUUUUCGGUUGUAGUUUUUUUAUAUUGUUUUAGUUAUAUAUAUAUUAGACCUUAUGAUGCUAGAGUCAGUUGAAAGCUAGAUUGCUUGAGUUCUUUUUUUUUACUUGGAACAAUGGAAUAAAGGAUUAUUCCUUUCUUCAAAAGUCGGCAGGGUAUUAUUUUAACUAUUUGUGUUAUAAUUGCUUGAUUACAAAUUAAAAGGCUUCUAAACUAGCCAAAAGCCAAGAAGACAUGUCUCCAUAUUGCAAAAUUUUAAAAUAAAGUUGUAUAUAUUAUUGCUCAAAAAAUAAAUUUGCAUAUAAUAGAGGUAGCAAAAACUUCCUCGUUCAUAUAAAAAGGCACAAAAGUUAUUAUUAUGCUGUAUUCUUGAAUUACACAAUGAGUUUGAUGCUCUCUGUGUGGAUCUUCGUCUCAAUUCUGUUACGAUUCUUCAAUCUGCUCUUGUUGUUUUCAAACCCUAAUGGAUUGUCUUUUUGAAUUUAAAUUUUUGAGCGUCACCAUGCUAUUGUUCCAUUGAUCCAUGCUUAGGUCCAUCUACAAUCAUCUGCUUUUGAUGUCUUAUGCUUCUAAGUUUAUAUGUCGUUCCUUUGAUAAUCUCAACAGGCCAAUAUUGUUAUUCUCUAUUGCAAGGUUGGGACUCGGUAAAAUUGAGUUCUGAUAUAAUUCUGUUGAUUGAUUCAGGUGCUACCGAAGAUAUCAAGCUUCUUUACUACUAAACUAUUUGCAUUGAUUUGGUUGCUCUAUGUUAAACAUCUCUACUGUGAAGUAGUUUGGGGAAUAUUGUAUAUAAAAAUUGUCUGGCAGUUAUUUCAAACCAAUACUCUAUUUUUUUUAAAAAAAAACCUAUUGCAACACACCUAUUAACUUGAAAUCUAUACAGUGUGCUUCAUCUGUUAUUUAUCUUUUUGACUUUAAUUUUUGCACUAAUGUUUAUUUUAAACAUCCUCUAUUGCAAUCUUUCUUAUGGGAUGCGAUUUCAGUCAUCGUCAUUUUGCUUUCUUGGUCUCUUAAUACAGAAUGAUAUUUUUAUGGUGGCCUGCAGGAGCAUUUUGUAAAAACAAGACAUGGCACAGUGUCUGUUGCUGUGUUUGGAGAUCAGAAAAAGCCUGCACUUGUAACCUAUCCAGAUGUGGCUUUAAACUGUAAGUUCCACUGAAACAUUUUCUAUGUGAACGUUGUUUUCUUUUUUGUCAUCCCUAUUCUCCAUAUGUGUGCAUUGUUAAUGUUUCAUUUGGAGUGAUUAUAAAAUGUACGUGUUUAAAGGUUCAUUCAAGAAUGCAAUUACGCCGGUUCCCUUUUGAUUGAGUUAAUUUAUUCACUCAAUUACAGUAACACUGCCUAUUUGUUAUUUUCCUGAUGGUUUUCAGGGAUUUUUUACUCCCUUUUCUGUCUUUUGUUUUGAAAUAAACAGAUGCAUCGUGCUUCCAAGGAUUAUUCUUUUGCCCUGAAGCUGCUUCUUUGCUUCUUCACAACUUCUGCAUAUAUCAUAUUAGUCCUCCAGGACACGAGGUCAGUAGUUUGGUUUCAGCUUCCAUAAGAAAUAACCUUGCAUACAGUUCUAUUCAAUAUGGUUUGUUGCCAUCAAAUUGAACAUGGUAUUUACAUGAGUUUGUCAUCUUCCUCAAGAGUUGUUGCAGUUAGGAGCUGCUCCAAUUUCUUCCGAUGUUCCCAUACCCUCUGUCGAUGAUUUGGCGGAUCAGAUCGCUGACGUUCUUGAUAUUUUUGGGUAAUAUUCAAGUGCUAUAUCUGCUUGUGUGAGUGGAUCUUAGGAUGGAAGAUGUGUGGCAAGGCAAUUUGAAAUCUAACAUUUUUACAUCCUUUCAAUUUAUCCUUUCCAGGUUAGGUCCAGUAAUGUGCUUGGGGGUCACGGCUGGUGCUUAUAUCCUUACCCUUUUUGCUGUAUGUGGUACCACUUGAAAAUGUUGCUCUGUUUAUUGUUUCAAUGACUAAAGUUUUACUUCUUACUUCCAGAUAAAGUAUAAGGAGCGUGUUGCAGGUCUGAUACUUGUCUCUCCUCUAUGUAAGGCUCCCUCCUGGACAGAGUGGUUGUUUAAUAAGGUAUCGUGUCAGAUCCCUUUUGUAAGUUAAGAAAGAACACAGUUUAAGCUGAUGAAUAGAAUCCUAUCUUCGCCGAUCCUCAGGUAAUCUCCAAUUUGCUCUAUUUCUAUGGCAUGUGUGGCUUGGUUAAGGAUUUCUUACUUCAGCGGUACUUUAGUAAGGUAAACAAGUUUCAGUUUCACAGCUUUAUAUCUGAUUCACUUUACCAUCUGUCCGAUGUCUGAUGGUUUCUUCUUUCUGACUUUGUUGGCAGGAAGUCCGUGGAAGUGGACAGGUCGCUGAGUCAGCUAUUGUACAAGUUUGCAGAAGUGUGAGUUUUGAUUUACUCUUAUUGCUUUACAUUGUUUUGUCAUUUGGUGGGGUUUUUUUGAUCAUUUGCAAUGAUUCCUAUGAUUUUUGUCACUGUUGUAGUUGUUGGAUGAGAGGCCAAGUGAAAAUGUCUGGCGGUUUCUUCAAUCAAUUAAUGGGUAUGUCCGUACACCUUUGCUCUAUAAAAUGUCAACUUUAAAAGAGACCCUUUGUCAUUUUAACUUUUGCCUAUUUAUAAGCAGGAGAUAUGACAUCACAGAACAAUUACAUCAGCUACAGUGUCAGACACUUAUAUUUGUUGGUGAAGAUUCUCCAUACCAUUCUGAUGCCCUCCACAUGACAUCAAAACUAGACAGAAGAUACAGUGCCUUGGUCGAGGUAAUAUACUGAAUCAGUACAUCUUGGGUGCUUUUCCUUAUUUAUGGAUAAUGGUUGCUUGAAAGGGCUCUAUUCAGUCCCACUGCUGGCAUUUUUUUGUGUUUCUCUGGGGAAUACAAUGCAGGUCCAGGCAUGUGGAUCAGUGGUGACAGAGGAGCAACCCCAUGCCAUGCUGAUACCCAUGGAAUACUUCUUCAUAGGGUAUGGGCUCUACAGGCCAAGGCAGUUUACUGGCAGCCCACGCAGCCCGCUCAGUCCAUGGUGCAUAUCUCCAGAUCUGCUGUUGCCUGAAAGCAUGGGCGUGAAGCUAAAGCCUAUCAAGACAAGGGUGUCACUUCACAUUUGAUAGUGAUGGGCAUAGUCAGCGAGCGAGGUUUAGAAAGAGUAAAGAUAGCUUCAACAUUUUGUAAUGUUGAAGUUGUAGCUGAUAAUAUAAAUAUGUAUACGAGCUCUUUUGACACCUAGGAUGGAUUUCUUAGGGAGUGUAGAUGCCAAAGGAAAAGAUUCUGGUGGGCAGCCAGGGGAAUGCAUGGACAGCAAAGAGAAUCUAUUCCUUUCAUUUGUAGGCAUCAUGCUCGCCUGUAAAAUCUGCAUUAUUCAUGAUGAGCUGACAACAAUAAGAGGUAGUGGCAUCCUCAAUCAUGACUUGUGUUGUGUGGUUUCAUAUUCAAUGGAAACGUCCUUGUAGUAAUUAUUUUAUUCUUUUGUUUAAAGAAAGCAAAGGGUUAGUAAUCAUAAAAUUGUUGUGAUUUUUCUGGUCAUUCACAUGAUCCCUAGAAUCAUACCUUUAUUGGUACACCUUCUAUUUAAUUGUUAUUAUUUGCUUUCAGAAACUGACUUCGUGUUUCUUGUAAGGGCUUGAGAGUGGAACUGUUUCAAUGGUGAAUUUGUGUUGCUGGCCUUAUUGAGCUUUUUUUGUAGCCGGAGGUUACAAAGAAGUGAGUAGUUCAUUUGGUGAUGUCUGAAGCAUCAAACAAGCUGUGUGGAUAUAAGUUCUCGAAUCAUUUAUGCCUAUAUGAUCAGUGCAGCCUGGAGCUAUACAUUUUAUUCAGGGGCCUCCUCCAAUACCUGUCACGUCUCUUAAAGUCACCUCCCUUUAAGCUUGGAAAUGACUUCCCAAUAUAAAUGUUGGAUUUCUAUGACAGAUCUUAGAUUUGAAUUGUUACCAUUACAUGAGCAAUAUACUCAGUCCUAGAUGCACAGUUCAGCAUUUAGUUUGGAUGGCUGGCGAUGAAAUUCUUUAUUUCUUUGUAGAGUACUAUGCAGGACAGCAAUGGAAAUCAUGCAUUAGCCAGAGAUUAAGGUUGUCAUUAGUUAUAGAUAAGUUUUUUGAUUAUAUUGUUGUUAGGUAAUAUUCUUAAGAGCUCUUAUCCAAUGCUUUGAAUGUUGGCUGACUGGUGGUGUUUCUUACUGAUGUAGAAACUCGUAAGGAUUGUUUUAAAAAUUGGCAGACUUGAAUAUAAAUUAUUCAGUCCUGAUACACUUGCUUAAGAUCUAUUCUUCUGUUACUAUUUUUUCUGACCUUUAUUAAGAAUGUUGUCACUGGGAAGAGCUGUUAAUGAGUGCCAUGCGGUCCUCUCCAAAAUUUGGAACACUUUGGGGCGCACCAACACACACUCAUUGCACUUGCUAAUGUCGUGCAUGGUGAUAUUAGCACUGUCAAAAAAUACCCAAAGUUUAUUUAGCUUGUUGCAUUCGAUAUCAGAUAAUGGUCUUUAAUGUCACCACCAUCAUUUCUGCUAGCUGCUAAAUUCAAUUGCUGGCAUCCACAUUUUUAUUGGUGGUGACGUAUUAUUGGUCCUCACAUCAUCAAGGCUACCUGUGGAAAUCAUUAGUAGGCUGUGCUAAAUCGAAUAUAUUAGGGCUUGCGGAGGAUGCGGCAAGGAAGCCCUUGUUCAUACCAACCCUUAAAGCUUUAACUCUCGUCAACGUCAAGGUACCAAGUAGUUGGUUGAGGCAACCGCAAAGCCAGGUCAAGGAAUGAUGACGCUCGAAACAAGAUAAUUCAUGCAGAGGCAAGAAGAAAUUAUAUCCUAUACGGCAUGCACGGCAUGUUUCUCCAUACCAUCAAUCACAACUGCUCAUCUCUUUAACGGUCAAUGAGAUAAGCACUUAAUGAAUGAGAUCCAUAAGGAUGAGUGGCGGUGCAUGCCAUGUAGAAUAUAAUUUUUCAGAAGAAAAGGUGGCAGAGAUGGCUAAGCUCAAGAUGGAUAAACUUACAAUACAGCGAGGAUCAUGGUAAUAAUGAAUUAGGUCAUCAUAACACAACCCAUGGACACCAUAUAUAAGCGGAAUACGGGCCCCAAGCCAUAUAUGAGUUCAAUGAGACCAGGACCAUCCAGCUGGCCAAUUACUGGCCUAACCCUGGUCUUGCUACCUGAGAGCAGCAUGGCUCCUAGCCAUGGGACCAAUCCACACUGCUGGACCUGGGCCUGGGCCUACACGAGUCUGUCCCACUUGUCAAGGAGGUGCUCUCUUACUACAAAAGAGGGGGGAGAGAGGUUUGGUUGAAAGAAGGUUUGCAAAGACCAGCCCAAGAAACAAAAUAUCCACAACCAACCUCUAUUCCACUAGGUCUGUCAGAUGAAUCGCGCAGCUUGAGAAAAACUUAGAUCAAGCUUAUUUUUGAAGCUAAAUGAAUCAAGUGGCAUAGCCUGCCAACUUUAUACCAUGCAAACAACUUAGGCACUUACAAAUAAUUUCGAAGUUUAUCAGGGGACUAUAAAUAUAUAUUCUCCCAACGUAUCGUUCUUACAGAAACUGACCUCGGCGGUCUUUGCCUUAGCUAGCAACGUGAGGAUUUAUAUGUAAUUCGAAGACAAACCAGGGAGUUGAAGUAAUUUUCUGAGAAGCUUAAACUGGACUUCGGCUAUUAUGAUGUAUGAACCGGCCUCCCCCACGGACCACCAGUCGGGCUUUCCCACAAACAGGUAUGGAUGCAGGCAUGACUCACGUCACAUACAAAUAGUUUCAUUCAUACGAUGGUAUCGAUGCAUUCUUCAAAAUGAUUUAUUCUGGAGAACAAACUCUNNNNNNNNNNNNNNNNNNNNUUAAAGAAGCUUGGGGGUGGGGGCUCCCAAGUGAAGAACACUGCACGGAACACCAUGAUUUGUUUUCAAUCUAUGUCUUUUUGAAAGCAUUCUGAAAUUUUUCAUGUUUCUUUUUUUGAAAGCAUUCUGUGUUUUGGUUUUCGUUUCAAUUUUGCCCAUGUAAUGUAUACCCCUUUCCCCCCAACCGAAAAAAAAAAAUAAAUUUCUCCAUACAAACUUGACAGAAGCUCAUCUGAGAAAACAGGGGAUGAAUCCCCUGUUCAAGGGGAAACGGCGCCCCUAUUUUCCCUUCUCUCGAUUGCGCCCCGGGCCCUUUGUUUCCCNCUACAAUUCUACAAAGCGUCAGAGAGAGCACGCUUUUUUUUGUUCUUUCCCCUCUUCCAUCCCUUUGUUCCGUGGAUAAGAACGAGAGGAAGGGGCGGCGCUUUGUUUUAAUUUCGCAUCCUCUCUCAGAGCUCCCAGCCCUCUCGUUCUUCCUCUCACGCGUUCCCUCUCCCUCUCGCCCUCUCUCACACGCACUCUGUCCUUCUCUCUCUCUCACACACACACACAUACACACUCGUUCUCUCUCAGUUAAGCCUAAGGGGCUCCACCAUACCACCUCCCAUACCCCCGCCCUGCGACAGAAAACAGGGCUGGUUUCGUUACCCUGUUAUAAAAGUAGUAGUUAGAUAUUACAAUUUUGGAAUUUUAGAGGAUUCGAAUAAUUAUUUUAAAAAUAUCAUUUUGGUACUGAUUCCACGUAUAUGUAUGUAGGUAUGUGUAUGCAUGUGUGUGAUUUAGAUUACCAUGUUUCAAGAAUCUCAGGAAAGUGAUUAGAUUUACCUGGGGUAUUAUUGGCAUCUAUGAGAUAAGCGAUUUACUACAUCUUAGUGUGUUUUUUAAGAAAUCUUGAAAAAUUUUAAUUUAUAUUGCCUGAUAAAAUAGUUUUAACGAUUUCUGCAUCUGUUUGAUUAAAUUGUUAAGCAUGUUGUAUUUUAUCUCUGAAAAUGGUACAAAAUUAUAUAGGUACUUUGAUAUUUUCGUAAAUAAGUUAAUUUGGAUAUACGAUCUGUCUUGAUUAAGGGAUUUGGAAAAACUAACUCGGUAAUUUGUGAAAAUACUUGAAGCCCAUGGUGUUUGAGGAUUGUCUCUAUGAAGAAGAGGCUGGCAUCACUCACCACCCUCAUUUCAUGCCCGAAUCAAAGAACAACCCAAUAGAUGUUAAAAACAAGAAUGCUGCAACAAAAACAAAAAGAAAGGAUUUUUUCAGCUAAAACCAGGCAAUUUAUGAGGAACACAAGAUACCAAAGACCAUAAGCAGAUUUAAUGGCUUCGAUGAUGUAACGUUGAUUUAUUCUCAAAAAAAACAAUGGCUGACUGGACAAAUAAUGGCAGUAAUGUUUAUUAUAAGGAUCAAUGGCAAUUUCAGUAAGGAUUCGUUGUUUGAGGUUGCUGCCAUCAGAAUAUUCAUUGAAACUACUUUCAAACAUUGGAAAUAAAAUUAAGCAGUAAAAUAAUCAGCAAAGAAUGAUCAUUCUUUGGUCUUUCGUUAUGUGAAAUUCAAAACAAGCCAUAUCAUGAUGUCUAUGAUUUUGGGUUUAUGAUGCUCUUUUGACAAGGAACAUCUUAUAUUUUCUGCCUUUCCAAAUCUUUUUCUUCAGUUUACUAGUUCUUUUCUUCUUUGAGAAUGUAAGUGUGAUCAUGACUUUGCUGCCAUAAUGUGCCGAUUUGUUGAAAGUUUGCUAGUACUACGCUUGGGUGGAAUACAUGUAGAACUUUUCAGAAUGGCCACAGGAGCAGCACAAAAUGGCUAUCUGUGAAGAACUGUUGUCAGGUUGAUCUUAUAUUCCAGUGGAAUAUAUAGGUUUCUUUCGCACUACUGCAACUUUUUGCUGAGUAUUAUAAAGAAUAAUAUCCAUAGUUUUAAAUUCAGGAGACAUGAACUCUGUAAUAGAUAAUCCAAUUAGUUUCCUCCUAUCAUUAUUUUCCUAACUUUAACUUGAGCUGAAUGAUGAAGGCACUAACCAUACUAGAGAACUCUGUUUGUUAUGGUAUACUUCAUGCAUUUGCACAAAAAUUCCACAGUUUAUGAAGUAGAGUACAAUUUCAGUGAAUUUUACAUGAAACUUAGACCAAAUAAAACAUCAGCAAAAUUUAUCUGCAUCUCUGACAUUCUUUCCACUGUAAAAUUACAAACCAGGUCAGAGAGGUGAAAGAGGGAGGGAAAAAAAGGAAAGCAAGAGGAAACAAUUUUUUUUAAAAAAGGGAUGGUGCUAAAAUGGUCCUUGACCAUAAUUCAAAUAAAUUGACCCGCUUGUGCGAGAUAUUUGAGGGUCAAGUCAAGCAUGGUUAGUGAGGAACCCUGAGAGGCAGGGGAAGAGCUUCAUUGGGUGGCAUUGGAAUUGUCUCGAACUUGCAAUCUACUGAGAAUACUUGGGCAGCAUUUUUGCGAUCGACGGCGAUCAACCUGUUGAUGAGCUGCAGGAGGAUCCUUUCAAGCUCCUCACCAUUGCUCCAUUCAUGGAUUUCAGCCUUGAGCUGCUGAGGGUUGUCACAGAUGAGCUGCCACAGAGGGUAUUCCUUCCUCGGCAUCACAUAGUCUUCUUCACUUAGCCUGAGAGAAGGGCAGUAGUCUCCCUUCCCGUCACCCAAGUAGAUGAAUCGCUUCUUUCCCUCUACAGAGGCUUGUGCUUGGAUUCGCUCGAUGAUCUUACCCUGUAUUUGGCGAAAUCAAGGAUUGGAUUGAGAGCCAAAGUAAUAAGAGAAUCAAGACUCAUAGAAGGGCUAUAGCAACUCAAGACACUGUUACUUUCCAUUGCAACCAUGGUUCCUAAAAUCUUACUUUUAGCUGUGUGGGAAAUUUGUUAUUACAAUGUUUUAGAGGUCUACAUCAAUGCUUUGCCAUGUAUUUGGCUAAGAUAUAUUCUGUAUUCUUUGCUCAGGGAAGUGAUUAAAAUCUGUUUUGACCUCCAAAGUUCAAACCAAAUUGAUCUACUCUCUCUCUCUCUCUUUUCUGAAGCAUUAUGAAAGGAGGAAAGACAAAAGUUACAACUUAAAUAAUAAGAAAAUUGUAAAUUUUUUGGAAACAUUGAUGAAGUUAUGGCUUGAAAAGGCACUAAAUUUACAUGGUUUAACCUCUAUCUUCAUGGUCAGAGAAUAUUUACCAUAAGCAACCAUUGGAUUCCACCUUGCAUCAUGCGAUGACACAAAACACCAUAGUGAACAAAUAAUUAAAGAUUUCUUAAAAAAAUAGUUACCUUGCACAUGUUUGGAGGACAGAGGCUGCAGCCAUGGGAAGAGGUAGAGAAGUCAUGGUAAGGGAAGAUCCUAAGCCUCCCCUCCUCAUCCACAUAGCUUGGAUUGGUAUUAACCUCUGAGAAAUACUCAAGAAGCCCAUGGUGUUUGAGGAUUGUCUCUAUGAAGAAGAGGUUGGCAUCACUCACCACCCUCAGCUCACACCUAAACCAAAGAAGAACCACCCAUCAGCACAAGAAAUGCGUAAACAACGGAAGAGUCGCAACCAUCGGCCAUGGCAAAAGAAACAAGAAAGCGUACCCAUGAGCGUAAGCCGAUUUGAUGGCCGCGAUGACAUGAGGAUCCAAUGGAGCCUUCUUCAGGCAGUCUGCGAUCUCCUCGACGGUCUUUCCCUGCGAAUGCAGCUCCUUCAUCAUCCUAUCCUGAAAGAGUUAUAAAAGACAACAAUAUGCACUGAGAACUGAGCUGGAUAGGAUUUGUAAUGGAGAAGAAAGCAACGGGUGGGAUGCGGUAUCGAUGCACAAACCAUGAGAGAAUUCCACGGCAUGGUCGGGAGGAGGCGCUCGAAUAGCUCGGUGGCGCCGAGCUGGUCGACGACCCAGUUAUCGCUGUCGCAGUCUAUGAUCGUCUUGUCGAAGUCGAACACCACGAUGAUCCCCGCCAUCGAAUCUUUCGCAACUCCUCUUGGAAUAGCAAUUCUAUUCUGUGAGAAUUUUGAGGAUGCAAUGGCUUGGAAAGAGGGGGGGUAUAUAUAGGGAGCAGGGGGUGCCAGAGGAAUAAUAUGUGACACAUGUGGUGAUGGGAAAUGGGAGUAGCUGCGGACUCAGGUUUUCUUUUGCCGUUGUUUGGUUUUCUUCUUCUUUUUUUUUUAUCCCUGAGGAUUUAUUCUACAGUGGGUGGAAUAGCCACCACUAGGCGCGGUUCCGAGAAGAAUCGGGGAGGAUAGGAUGGGAAUAUUCGGGGGAGCACCGAAACUUUGGUGGGAACGCGUGGACCGCACGCCGCCGUCGCGCAAUCUCAAUGGUUUAGGAGCCUUCGGGAGGAGGGAAUAUUCGGGAUAGGAGCAGCCGGAUCUCCGCGCCCGCCUUAUACUCCGUGGCUUACCUUUCUUGAACGAUGGAGUCCAGAAGGAUUGACCCCGGCGUUCCUUCUUGGUCGUAUGACGACUGCUCCUGAUGUUUUGGGCAGGUAGCCAGGGCCUAUUUUUAAUUAUUGUCAUUAAAAUAUAUUUUUUUCCUUCUUAUCAUCUAUUUUUUCCUUCAUCUUUUAUUUUUUCAUUUUUCUUCAAUUCCUUUCUUUCCUUUUUUUUUCUCAUUCUUUCUUACCUAUUUUUAUUUUUUUCUUCUUUCUUCUCUCGUUCUUGUUUUUUAUGCGGAUUAGUUUUGAAAUCUUAACCACCUCCUAAUCUUGUUUACCAAGAGACAGAAUGGAUGGACAUGUAUGUAAUUGUUCGUAGUUCUUGUAUUGUUCAUAUUUGUAUUUACUUAGAUAAGUAUCCAUAAUUUUAUAAAUAAUUUUGGUAUUUUAUUUUUUUAUUUAAAAAUUUUGAUUAUUUGAAUAUUUUCUUAAAUAUCAGAGCAUUUUUUUGAUUUUUUUCUUAAUUUAUAGUGAACUUGUGGUCAUGUUUUUUUUGUGAACAAAGUAGAGGAGAAGGUAACAUAGUUCUGAUUUUUUUUAAUCUAUUUCUUUUUGAAAGCAUUCUGAAAUUUUUCAUGUUUCUUUUUUUGAAAGCAUUCUGUGUUUUGGUUUUCGUCUCAAUUUUGCCCAUGUAAUAUAUACCCCCUCCCCCCAACCAAAAAAAAAGAAAUCUCCAUACAAACUUGACAUAAGCUUAUGAACGAUUCAACAAAGUACUUUAACAAAAAGUAAUAAAAAGAAAAACUAAAAUCGGCUAGAUUAGCCCAACACAACUCUUAAUAUGUUGGCUUUGGAGAACUCCUAACUUCAAAUAGAUGAAUGCAGUUGAUGGAAGGCAAAAUGGAUCAUCCUACCUCAGCGUGGGAACACCCAAUUUUAGCGAAAUAGACCUCAGCACCGAGCAGACCAGACCUCGGUCCCGUUGGGCGCCAGUCCAACCUUGGACCUCAUCAAAGGCCGAGCUAACUUUGACCAGAUCUCUCUGCUGCCAUGAGCCCGUAUGAUCGAUCAAGAGCCGAAGAGGCCCUGUCGAUCGCCUCUAAUAUAACGACGUCCCAGGCCCGAGCUCAGGGCGCUCUGCAGGAUCGACCAAGAGUCGAAGAAGCCCCAUCGAUCACAUGUAUCCAUAAUGACGCCCCAGCCCGAGCUCGGGGUGCCCUACCGAGCUGACCUCCGAGCCGAGGAAGCUAGGCCGACCCUAGCGUCUGCCAAGCUGCCCUCACCAAGCAUAUAUCGCGGCCCCUAAGUCGGCCCGACCUCAGUACUCACCAAGCUGACUUCACCAAGUAAAUGCUAUNNNNNNNNNNNNNNNNNNNNNNNNNNNNNNNNNNNNNNNNNNNNNNNNNNNNNNNNNNNNNNNNNNNNNNNNNNNNNNNNNNNNNNNNNNNNNNNNNNNNNNNNNNNNNNNNNNNNNNNNNNNNNNNNNNNNNNNNNNNNNNNNNNNNNNNNNNNNNNNNNNNNNNNNNNNNNNNNNNNNNNNNNNNNNNNNNNNNNNNNNNNNNNNNNNNNNNNNNNNNNNNNNNNNNNNNNNNNNNNNNNNNNNNNNNNNNNNNNNNNNNNNNNNNNNNNNNNNNNNNNNNNNNNNNNNNNNNNNNNNNNNNNNNNNNNNNNNNNNNNNNNNNNNNNNNNNNNNNNNNNNNNNNNNNNNNNNNNNNNNNNNNNNNNNNNNNNNNNNNNNNNNNNNNNNNNNNNNNNNNNNNNNNNNNNNNNNNNNNNNNNNNNNNNNNNNNNNNNNNNNNNNNNNNNNNNNNNNNNNNNNNNNNNNNNNNNNNNNNNNNNNNNNNNNNNNNNNNNNNNNNNNNNNNNNNNNNNNNNNNNNNNNNNNNNNNNNNNNNNNNNNNNNNNNNNNNNNNNNNNNNNNNNNNNNNNNNNNNNNNNNNNNNNNNNNNNNNNNNNNNNNNNNNNNNNNNNNNNNNNNNNNNNNNNNNNNNNNNNNNNNNNNNNNNNNNNNNNNNNNNNNNNNNNNNNNNNNNNNNNNNNNNNNNNNNNNNNNNNNNNNNNNNNNNNNNNNNNNNNNNNNNNNNNNNNNNNNNNNGCGUACCACGCUUGCUUUGAUCGCGUUCUUUGUGCUGCGAGCAAGUUUGGCGAAGCCAAAUGGUCUUAAAUAAUUCUGGUUGGAAGGACCGGUGGGUCACAAAAUUGUGUUAGUGCUUGCAAAAGUUUCUGCUGGUUUCAAUGUGAUUGGAAAAGGUCUAUAUUAAUUUGAAUCAUAAUGGCCCAAUCUAGGUUCUUAAAACUAGAUUAAAAUUAUAAAGUUAGCCAGGAUUUUGUGGUCAAGCUGGGUCCAAACCAAUUAAAAAAAAAACUCGCCUGACCCAAAACAUGAAUUAAACUUGCUAAAGUGAGCUGGACCAUGGGUGAGAUCAUGUGUCUAUUGGGAUCGAAUCCACAGGAUUCCAGCUGUUGGUUUAGGCUUUCAAAUGUUGAUUAAGUUAAAUUUGGAUGUGGCUUACAAAAACUAGUGUAUUUUGUUGGAGAUCCACUUAGGACUUUGAUCCCUCCAUUGGUGUUUGUGAGGUGGGAAUUUAAUAUAAAGCACGACCUUCCCACCUUCCUAGUCUCGGAGGAGAUUAUGGUUGCCAUCCAGGACUCCAAAACAAGGGUACAACCUGGGCCAUCCAUAGCAGUCCUGUGGGAUUGGGUGGUUUUUUCCUUCUUUUUUUAUAAAAAAGUAACUUGAUUUUUCAAUCUAACGAAUGAUAUCUUCUAUAGAUGAGCAUGAAUGUUGUUGCAUAGACGUUUGAUUUAUUGGUUGAUGGUAUACGAAAUCAGGUCAUGAGCAAAAAUGCAUGCAUGGAGGGGUCAAUAUGCAUGGUAGAUUAAACGCUUGCAUGGAACGUUUGUGCAAUUGGCUAAAGGAUGGGCUAGUCCUGACUCGCGUGGUUGCCAUCCGAUUUGAAGUUUUGUUCUUGCCUAGAUUCUUUACGCUUCUUAGAGCCUUUCAGGAGUGAAUGGGGCUGAUGUUUUGGAUGAUUUGCAUGGAGAAUCUUGGUCACACACAUUUACUCCUCGUAUAAAUUUAUCUUGUAUAUGUGGAAUCAGAUUUACUAGGGUGUAACACAAUGCUAAUUAAGGAUGGGAAGUAUAUAGAAUUGUUGAUUCUUUUUUUUAGGAGUUUGAAAUGCUAUGGAUGUUUUGCAUCAUCUUCAUCCAAGGCUUUUGCGUUACAUGCAACGGAGAUUAUUUAUCAAUGCUAGGCAAGUAUUUGAAUUCCUCAUUCAAGUGUUGCUUCCUACUGUUGACACUUGCUCCUACUCCUUGCUAUUAAGAUGGGGUUUGGUUUACGAAAUUUUCAAAAGGCAAUGUAUAUAUGGUGCACUUAGAAAAAAAAAAAGAGAGAAAAAAAAGAAGGGGAAUGGAUAGUGUGCAACAAAAAGAUAAAUUAAUCAAAAAUAAUAAGCUUCUCUCUAUCAUUUUGGGAUGCACCCUCAAGUUCUAGAUUGCCUUUUUUUUUUAAAAACAAAAAAAAAAAAAGAAUCUUUAGACCUCGUACCCAUAUAGCUCCUUGUACGCACCCUAGCUUUAAUAGCAUUAGCAACAAUUUAAGACCAUGUCUAAAAAAAUCAAUUGAAAAAUAUUAUUUAGAUUGCUUGUUUUUACAUAAAUAAAGAUUUUUCGAGCGCACAACCAACAUGGGAUCGAACAAGUUCUCUUUUGUAAAACAUAUGCAUCCUUUUGAUUUCAAUGGAUGGGGAAAUAAUAAUGGAUUGCGCAGCGGGCCUAUGGACCAUGGCAUGACUGUUGGACUUCCAAUAAAACCAGCUCUGAUUGGAGCUAGACCGGCAAUUUGAGGCCCAAGACUGUUAAAAUCCUAUACAACUUCAGCAACUGGUCUCAUCUCAUGCACUCCUCUUCAUCCUUACCCUUUAGUACUCCAAGAACACCCUUCAUCGCUUAUAGUUCUUUGCUCCACUCCUUUUGCUCCUCUUGUGUGCUAUCUUGGCUCUUAUUAAGCUUUGGCCAUGAGCCAGAUCCACUUUGAUAUUAUUUGUAACAACCCAGGACGCCACGCAAAUGGCUAGCCAGAAUUUUUUUUUUGAAUUCCUUAGUCUUGUAUAAAUACCCAAAAUUUUCUCUGUGAAUAACCGAUGUGGGACUAAACACAUACCCACACGGAUCCUCACAUUGGUUACCAGAGAGUAUGCUAGCUCUUCUAUUUUCGAGAACUUAUAAAGCAUUCCCAGGAGCAACGGAUGAGAGUGAGCCUUGUCGAGUUCCAGAGUGAUAACUAUAGUUGGACGGAAGAAAUAAGGGUGCAUUCGGUUCGCAACCGGAAUUGAAAUUUGAAUUGCAAGCGGAAUGAAUUGGAAUAGGAAUAAAUGAGAUUUGAAUACUAAAGGAGAGUCGAAACUGAAUUUUGGAAGAUUGAGGUAUUUUCAUUUACUCCUUAAAUCAGAAUCAAAACAGAACUCUCCGUAACCAAACAACUGAAUUGGAAGUCAGUUAUUCUCAUUCUCAUUCUGGAGUCCAAUUCUUUUCAGCCAAAUAUGCCCAGACCAUCAAUAGCCUUUAGACCGGCUUUUGAUCUUGUAAGUUGGACUUCUCAAAUCAUUUGAUGUGUGAACUCAUAGGGGGUGACACCUCAUGAGGUCUUAUAAAACUGGUAACCCAUAGGGAAUGUGAAGCGUUUUGGGCCUAGCCUUGGGUGGGGGCCUUCUUUAGAUAAUUGGCUUUCUACUUAAUUAACCGAAACCUGUUCCAAGAGUAUCCCCACAAAAACAUGUUGAAUAAUCAAUUAUUAAAUGUUGAAUUUUGUUGCAUCACGAUCAUAUGCAUCUUUUUAUCGGUGGACAAGCUGAGCAAGAUGAAGAUCGAGCUUGCUUCUUUAAUAUUUUCCUUUGCCAUUUCAUGUCUUUUGAACUUUUCCAACAAAGACCCGAUGGUUUUUUGACAUGAGAAAGAGGUCCCUACGGAUUCAUGCAAGCGUUCGGUCCAAUACUGGAGCAGUAUCUUCGUAGCACUUCCCAUAGGACGGUCAGCAAAUAUUUUUAGGCUUCAGGCGUUUGAGAAUUGGGAAUGGAUGGAAGCCUCGCGAAAUAUCAGAGACUAGGGGCAGGAUCUACUCAAGCCUCUUGGAUCAAUACAAGAGACUUUGCCAACUGAGUCAAUUGGCAUCCUCAAAUUUAGGCCGUAGUUAUUCUUAAAUAAUGUAGUUUAUCUAUGGUUUUUUUAGCAUGCUACAUGCUUGGGCUUUUAAAUUAAUGAAAUGUUAGAUCCAAUAGUUUUAUUAAUGGGAAGCAUGUGGUUUCGUACGUCCAAGUGCAGAGUAUUCUGAAUUGUAAACAAAUCACUCUCUUGGGCGCGUACCUCUUGGAAGCUAGUAAGCUGCACUCUAUUUCCCAUUUGUUAAUUCUUCGGAAGGCCAGCUAUAGGUUUUUUGAAAAUGUAGAUAAUACUAACAGAUCCUGCAAAGCACUAAACAUACCUUUAGAGCCUUUAGCUUGGCUAUUAUAAAAAAUAUAGAGACUUUUAACUUCAAGGCAGAAGAUAAUGGUGAUGGUCGCUUCAAUUAAUGGUUGUAGAUAAGAAUGUCAUUAAUGAAUCAACGAAUAAAAGAAUGAGUUGGUUUUAUCCUCAAUUUACGUGGACUAAUAUAUGAACAGAUUGUAUAGAAGCCUGGCUUAAUCAGAACAGCUUCCUGGCGAAGUCUGUGAACUCUUCACCAACUUGACAUGAGUGUGAGGCGAAGCCCUUCAUCUCAAAGAGGCUCCUUCCAAGCUGCAAUGCCAUCUUCAACUGAAACAAAACUCCAUUCUCUCUCUUCUCCACUUCUCUUUCCUCCAAGUUGAGCUCAAUUACCUCCUCCAAUUAUCUGCAGAAGCCAGCACAGUCUAACUCAGGACCUCAACUAAAAAAAGGUAGCCGAGAUCUAUCCAAUUCUCUUCUCUGUCAUAGAAAGUGUUCGUAGUUUAUUUGGGUCAGAAGGGGAAGAAAGAUGGGAUGAUUUGGUCCAUUUGGAAGCAGUGUUUUGUGUUGAGAAAUGGGUUUGGAUGCCCUCCGUUCAUAGUGAGAAGAGGUGGCCGUCGAAGAGGUUUGAACGGGUGAAGAUUCAAAGGAAUUAUGUUUAUUCCAAGUUAUUCCAAGUUAUACAAUCUGAUGAACGGACUUCUUUAUGUUUAUUCCAAGUUAUUCACAAACCAAACUGAGCCCAUACGCUGCAACUUGUUUAUCUAGAUAUGUCAAGACAACAUGUAUGACACGUCUUUUUCUUCGAGACAAUAUAUGCAAUAUUUCUUAAAUUCUUUCUAUUUUUUUGUUAAAUGGUUCAAAAAUUUAAACUUGACCUUAAUCCAUUUAAUAAAUAGCCAAAUAGGUUUAAACGAAUUGACUUAUUUACGAUUCAAAUUUGUUUAUGUCAAUUCUAAAUCUGCUUAAAUCGGACCAUUCAUGGAUCGAAUUGAUAGGUUGGAUCAUAAAUUGCCAUCCAUAUGACAUGAAUGGGUUUUUUUUUCCUUAUUCUGGUGUAGUAUGCAUUGACCCUACAUGGUGAUUGUUUAUUAUUUAAUAUAAUUUUCAUAGCAUAACUAUAACUUUGUAGCAGAAAAAAUAAUUCACUUUAUAGAUUUUUUUAAACUAUAUCAAUUAGUUAGGUUGGACAUGGAUGGACUCCUAGGUAGAAAUGACUAACUAGUCUUCGCCAAGGAAAAGUCUAUGUUUUAAGCUUAUUAUUUGAUGCAUGGACGUGGUUACACAUCCAGGGUGUAACAUUUUUGUUAAAUUCAAUGAUGAAAACUGCCAAUGAAAAUCCAAAAUGCUUGCAAAUAAAAUAAAAAAAAAUCCCGGAGACUUUUUAUUUAUAUACAGAUGAGUGAUAUCCAAAACAUAUAUAUUCUUUUUAUUGUAAAUAUAUUAGAACUUAUAGAUCACAUACAAUAGUUUACGUUCUCAUUUUUCAAUUCUGAUUAGUAAAUUCGAUGGUGGAAAUAAAAUUUUUUGUAUAUAAACCAAUAGCGAAAACAACAAAUAACAGUUAAUACAGUACCAUAACAAUUAUAUGAUGAUUAUUAUUUAGUUAAUCUAAACUAUAUCAUGCAUAUAUAACAAAGUUUCAACAACGCUGCUAUUCUCAUUACAAUGAAUCCUCACCAAAAAUGUUAAUGAUUGUCAUAACGGUUUAAAGUGACCAUUAUUUGUCAAAAAAUUACUAUAAGAUUGGGUUUUGUACUGGAUUUAAAGUAAAAAAAUUUGUAUAAUGGCUGUACAGUGGAAAAUAACAGUCAACAAUAAAAGAAAAAAAAAAAAUCAACCCCAUCAUUUGUCUCGUUCACCAAAUAAAAAUCAUUUCUUUUGACCAUCCGAACAGUGUUUUCCAAAUGCCACAAAAUUUUGGGUGAAGGGUGCAAUAUUGGUAAUUGUUGUCAUAAUAUUAUUAGCCGUUAUAAUAAAAAAUAAUUAAUGUUUCAGUAUUCACUAUCAAUAUUUAAUCGUAAUGAUUACCUUUGAAACUAAUGACCGUUAUAUAAUCUAAUCAAAGGCUGUUGAAACUGUGACAAUGGCCGUUUUAAAUCUUGGAGCCACUCCAUUUGCAACAUUUUUAUCUUGGCUCUGUAUACCGAGUUAUUCAUUAGUUGAUGAGGUGGAAAAGCUUGAUGUUUGUAUGGUAAUUCAAGACAUCACUCACAAAGACUAGCUAAAAAAUAUUAUUAAUUUUUUUUAAUUCUAUAUAAGUUGUAAGAAAAUAUAAAAUAUAUAAAUAAAUCUACCUCAUCCUAUAAGCUUAAGCUUUUAGAAAAAGUAAUGAUUUCAACUUGAUAUCAGAGCAGAGGUUCUAGUUCGAAUUCUAUCUCUACACUCUUUAAUCCCAUUAUUAAAAUUUUCACAUGUUGGGCUCGCCCAUUAAAUGAAAGUCCGACCCACAUAUAAGAAGAAGUGUAAGAAAAUAUAAAUUAUAUAAAUAGAUUUACCUCAUCCUAUAAGCUUAAGCUUUUAGAAAAAGUGGUGAUUUCAACUUAAGUAUCCAAAAUUUAUCCAGUGAAUAAUCGACGUGAGACUAAAUACAUACCCGCACGAUCUUUACAUACUCACAUCGUUUAAACUCUGACGUCCUUGUCCGGCUAAAUGUAUAAAUUUAUUCAAAUCUAAUCACCAGAUAACUUAUGGUCAAUCUUAAUUAGUUGGUGCUGUAGUGUCCUAUAAUCCAUAUAGAUCAUAGAUCGGAUCCUCCCAUAUACUAUUUAUAAUAAUUUAUAAUCUUAUAAAAAAUUAAUUAAAAAUUAUUAUUUAAUUUUUUAAUUAUAUAUAAAUAUUGAAAAUUUAUUUAUUAAAAAAUUGAUGCAUGCACCUUUGAAGCUCGCAACAAAAGCAGCAAUGGGGAAGGGCGCUGCAUGUGCUAGCGUACAAACAAACGCAUGCCUCCGUAUGCCCUCAGGUGAAACCGGAGGGGGCGGCAAGCUUUUUAUCUCCCUUUCCCAAGGAAAAGUCUUUCCUUCUGACCUCUUAAUCCCUUCAUAUGUUGCCUUCAAUGCAGUGCCCCCACAGUACUUGCAGACGUGCUCUCUCUCCUGCGGCCUGCCAUACCGCCACCUUUCAAUAAAAGGAUUAACAUCGAAUAAUUACUCACUAAAAACAUCUUAACUACUCAGAAUCCUAAAACACUCCGACCAUGACUGAGUAAGAGAUCUUCCAAUGGAUUUUGCUGACAUCACCCUGUCCUCUCCUCCCUCCCCACUGCAGCAAUCUUUGGAACUGCAGCCAAAGGUGUCGUUGACUCGUCUCUCCCCUCCAUCCUUCUCUUUCUAUCCCAAGCACUCGCUUGAAUGGAAAAUAAUCCUAGGGAAGGUAGCCUUCCUUGGAGGUGUAGCUGAGAGCAGCUGCCGAAGAACAGAGAAUCCUGAUGACUUUGGCUGAGAUGAUCAUUCCUGAAAGAAGGGAUGGAGGUGGAAACGCCAGAAAUGAGCGGGGGAGAGGAGGGGGAGGAGGGCCCCCCACAAAAGCCUGCACCAAAGGUAAUGCUCCUCCCCCUCCUGCUUUUGUUUUUUCUUUUUUCCAACCAUGAGUAGCUCCUCUUUUCUUUCCCUUUUCAGAUGCAUGCUUUUGAUUGAUAUUUGAUGGGCCAUGCACCUCUCUCUCCUCUGCUAAAAGUCUCUUGGCCAUUUCCUCAAAACGCUUCUCUUUUCCUGUUCUGGGUCUGCUUUGCUUUUAUAUUUUCUGUCCUUCAAAAGGAAGUCUUAAAAAAAAUCCUAUUUUUCUGCUUUCUGGUUUGUAUUUUGUGGCUGGGGUGGAAAGGUAGGGGGCGGAGAGAGGGUCCAUGACUCACCUGGUGGUAUGAUAUGUUUUCUUGAGGUUUCUUGAGGAUUUAAAAUGGUAGAAUUGCAAGGGGGAAGGGGCCGGCUGGGGGCUUCUUGUAAAUGUCAACCUUAUGUUCUCUCACUGUGUGGGAAAAAAAAAGAGAGAAUGAUUAGUUUCCCGUUCAGCUUUGAACCCAUGCAUGAUGAAUCAUAGGAGGAGUGAGAACCCAUCAUACCUUUGAUGGCUCUUGAAUCCUUUGCUUUGGCUUUAGGGUAACUAACACCUUUUGUGUAUAUUAUCUUUUGGCUUUUGCUUUAAUGAAGCUAGGGAUAACCUUUUGGUUUGAUCGAUCAUAGGGAGUUAAAAUGAUGAAUCGUUUUGUAUGCGGUCAAUCUCAUGCUUGUCUUUUGGGGGUUUAACUCUGAAGUAAAGCCCACUUCUUUGAUCAAAUCAGAAAGAGCAUGUCAUUUGAUGUUCCAGACAGUAUCCUCUGGCUUUAUGCUUGUAGAGUAGGGAGAAUGCAUAGUUUUUCUUCAGCUCUGCACACCAUUCUUUCUGUUUGUGCGGUGUUUAAUAUCCCAAUUUUGUGGAUGCUUUUCUUUUUUUCAGAAAAAAGCAUUACUCUUUUUGAGUCUUGAUUUAAACAUAUGUAAUGAUGAUAUGUGUCUGAUAAAAUUGGUGCUCGAUUGUUUUACACUUGCUUUCGUUUGGUUAAUGAUGCGAUUCAAUCUUGUAUGCUUUUGAUGUGGAAGUGAAUCACUUUCCUUAGCUGGUAAAAGAGAAGGUUUUUUUGGUUUUGUAUAACAGGAAAAGGGAGGGCAGCAUCAACCUAGUUUAAUUCUCCGUUCUUUUGGUUAUAUUUCGGGAUAUGGGAAAGAAGUUACCUGCGAGUUGUCAUUUGGCCAUGGCCAUGGAUGUUCUGUGUGCUGUCAUGCACCCAAGGGAGGUUGGAUCUCUGAGCUUUACUUCUCUACUGCUCGCUCUUAUUUUCUUCAUUUGAUACAGAUGUCAUUUGGAACUCUUUUCAUUAAGAAAGGAACUAUUUUUUUCCUUAUGAUAUCUUCUACCAUGCAUUGAUCAUUAGUUACUUAGCAAGCAUAUUGUCUACACCAGCUGGUACUUUGCACUGUGAAACUGGAAAUAUAUGCUCUUUUUUUUUCAGGUUCAUGUCAGUCACUCUCUCUUGCACCCAUCUUCUCUUAAGCUGGAAGUUUGAAAAAGGUCUCUGAGGUGAUAUGUUGCUUACCAUCACCCUAAGAACGUGGUCAUGCUUUAAGUGACUUCUGUAAUCUUAGCAUAUUUUUAUGUGUUUAAUUUCAUGUUUAUUAUGUCUCUUCUUUAAGAACUAUUAAUAUGUGAAGGUUGUGCAUCUUUCUACAAUUUAAUGCUCAUGUCCAGAAAUUUAUUUGAUAUCUUUAUACAUGUCCCUAAAUGUCUCAGAGGUUAUUGUUUCCCUUUUCCGUUCUAAUAUCUAUCUCUGCCUGUUGAGUAUGAGUAGGUUUAUAGGAGAUGAUUUGGAGGCACAUCUUUUGCAUGUUGUAAUUAACCCUUUUUUUCCUUGAAUGCUGCAGCUUUUGAUAUUCUGUUCUUAAUUAGCUUAUAUUCUUUCAAGUAAUACAAUGGAUAUGAGAACAUGACUAUAAGAAUCAUCCGCAGACCUCGUAAUACAAUGACUUGGAACACGUUUACUAAUUCUGAUUCUAAGAGGAAAAUAUAUGUCGGAAGACAUCGGACGCAUCAUGACUGCAGCACAUUUUAAACCUCACUAGCCGAAAGUGCUGUCUGAUCUGGAGUUGAAUCUCUUUAUGUUACUUGCACUUGGGCAUCAUUAAGAGAAUAGGCAGUUACCUAUCAUUGAAAGAAUAGAAGUUAGGAUUACCUUGAUCUUCAAUUUUCCUUCCUAUAUGUUAUGAUUUUUCAAUAGUAUGAUGUAAUCUGACUGCCACCCAUACGAGGACUUAAUGAAAGAGACUCUGAAACAAGUAUAGUUCAGUUGGUCUACAGCACUGUUCUAUUAACAAUUCCUCUGAAACAGACUGCAGUUUUCCAGCAUCCCAUUGCAAUGGAGAAUGAUGUUUUUAAUGCCUCUCUACAAAAAACAGAUCAUAAUCAUAUGGACAUCGAUGCAGUUACAUCUGAUAUAUUUUCAGGUCCAUUCAUACAGUCAGGUAUGAUAGAUUAUGACAGCCAUGAGCAGAUGAUUUGUGGGAAUAUUUUGUACCCAACAUUGCCAGAAGAGGUCCAGAACAAUCCUUAUAUAACAAACCAUGGUGCUAUCUCCAAUUAUGCAUCAAGGGGGGAUGCUUCUUUCGAGGAUUCUAUUGGGAAAACUGGCCAGCGGAUCGGAGCUUCUGUGUCUGCUACUUCACUUGCCUACCUUUUGCCUGGCUCCCAUAGUUUGCAGGAAGAUCUUACCGGUUUGGGUGUUUCAUCAGCAUCGCCACUGGGUGAGAUCAGAGCCUUAUCAUCCAGAGACUGUUGCAAUACUUUUGGUACACAGGAUGUUGCUAGGUUUUCAAGACCAAAAGUUGAUGCCAAUAUGAAUGGCAAACUAGAUUAUGGUUGGAAUUGUGAUGGAACUCCAGAUCAUCGAGUUCCUUUGAGUAGAACAAGCAUUGUUCACCCAUCUUAUCAUGUCAAAGGACGCUCGGAACCUGGGUGGGAUUCCAAUGCAUCUACCAUCACAUCUGAUCAUUUACCAAGUUCUUGUGUGCCUAAUAAUGAGCUGUCCCUUAGGCUUGGCUCCUACCAGACUUCUAUGAUGAACAUGCUUAAUGCUCCAGAUCGGUGCUCAGAACUAAGCUGCUCCAAGUUAACUCAAGUUUCAUCAAAAGAUGGUGAAAACCCAGAUGCUAGUGGAUUGCAGGAUUCCUUUCGUGUUUUCUGUUCUUCGCAAAAUGUCAGUGUGGGAAUGGCGCUGGGACUUGCACAAACCUUUGCUACUGGCGAAGAGCUAUCUCUGUACCGUAAUUCUUCUCCCUUCUAUUUUCCUCGCGUUCUUUUAGGAUCAAGAUAUCUCUACAUAGGUCAACAAAUACUCGCCGAAGUUGCAAGUUAUGCAGAGCUGGAUGGCUUGUUUGGUGGGAUUAAGGGUGAGGCAAGGAUGCCCUUUUCUUCUAGUUGUUCCAGUGAAAGAGGAAUUGUAAGUGUCGGUUGUCAUGAGUUCCCACUUUCUUCUGGUGGAACCAAAUCUCAGGACCAUAUGGACCGACAGCAGAGGCUGGAAACUGAAAAGGAGAAGUCUCAGCUGUUAGUGAUGCUUCAAAGGGUAUGUAUCUCCUUUAUUGGUAAUGCUAUAUUAGAUGGUUUGACAUUUCAAUGAUUAAGAUCCAAUGAGCUAACAAUUGUUCAUGCAGUUGGUUGGUGCCUUAACCCUGAUGGCCUGCCCUUCAGGAGGUCCAGGUUUUGAAUCCUGGGUAUUGCUUAGAAAGAAAAUAAUUAAGAUCCAAUCUUUUUUUCAUUUUAUUGCUUUGCGGGUUGUUGUUUGUGGCCGAUAAAAUAUCCAUUUUCUUUGUUUCAAUUGGUCUGAUUCUGGUUCCGAUAAAAGUUACCUGCAAUUUUUCCUCCCUCUUACUAUAUUGCCUGUUGAUAAUGAAUUGUUGCUCCCCUAAGUCAGCGUCAUGGAUAUUUUGUUGUAGUACUUGUUUAUAAUCUAUCUUGCACAUUCUGUUUUUUCAAUCUGUUUAAGCUAAAAGUUUUUUUUUUUGAAACUAUGUUGCUUAGCUUUAGGAUUAAAAUAUCCACAAUGCAUUUGAUUGAAUAUCUUCUAGGUUUCACUUAUUGCAUGUGCAUCGAAGAGGCCGGUUAACCUCUCUCAGUGCAUCGUCACUUGUCAAAGGAUGUAAAUGGUCUAGACAUCAGACCUCUUCGACGUGGGAUUGGAGAAAGCCAGCAAAUUAAAUUUCGUAGAAGUUGCAUGAAUGGAAGUUGGAUACUUGACAUAUAAAUAUAUAUAGCAAACCUAAUCCCAUUGUCAUGUUGUUGGGAGAACUCAGGUAACUAGCACCAGGGAAUCUGUUACUCUCUUGUCCGAUGCUCUUUGAUGAUUUUUUUUUUUUUCAGUAGAAUGCCCUUGAUGAUUCAGAUUCGGUACAGUUCAUCUUGUUUUGGGCUUCCAUUCUAAACAUAACCUUGAUCUGGUCACAGAAUGAAACCUACAGAUAGUUCUUUGUUUCGGUGCUUUGAUGGUAAUGGCAUUGCUGGCAUAUGACAUUCGACCUCGUGAACCAAAAUAUAGUGUAGAUCGCCAGAAAACAAGACAGACAUCAUCAGCAGAUGUUGCACUAUUUGUGAGAAACAAGAGAUAAAGAAUGAAAGGAUUAGGUGUAACAUGGGAAUCUUGAUAAAUUACAUUCUUUUGUCAAUGGGAUGUUGGCUGAAAAAAGAAAAUCUUUAAUAAGAUAGGCUGUGGAGCUGUUAAAUUAGCAAGUGUUAAUGAACAUACUGUAGCUUUAAUUUACUGAAUCAGAAUCUAAAUGAUUGGGCUGAAAAUUUGAGAUCAUAAAGUCCUAUAAGCCUUCUUUCAGACCUGUAACUGGAUUGAUGAUUGGUUUUAUGAAGAUGCGACUAUAGUGCCUAGAAUCAAGCCCCAGAACCAUUAGGUCUCCUGCAGGCCUGCACAGAAUCUCGUUUCACUGAGCUGGAUUGUAAAAGUCACAGAUCUCAGAUCUGCCAUUGGAUCUGAACGAAAUUUGGUGCCAAAGAUUUUAAUAGGUCUUCUUGUGACGCCUUGAAGUAGAUCUCUGAUUGGACCUACAAAGAGAAAAAUUAUGCAUAUGGGAAUUGGCUGCUGUCGGCGGAUCUGCAGCAUUGGAUAAUUAAAGUUUGUGAAACCAUGUAAAUGGCUUCUUGAUCCAAUAUGCAAACAUGUUAGGAUUAUGAUCUUCAGCCUGCAAUCAAUUGGAAAUUAAGUAAUUAUUGCUGUAGUAGGAACUGUACAUAUCAGUAUUGCUUGUUUAUUACAAUCAGCACGCUGAUGCAGUUAAAGGCAAAGUAGGACUCAGUAUGGAGGCACUUAUGGGUCCAGUUGGAAUGCUUUUCUUCUACCCUUCAUUGGAAUCCUGUCCAAUCUCUCCCUCCACAGCAUGCAUCCAAAGCUCCAAGACUCACCAAGCAACCUGGUUCAUUAUCUUCCAAGAACCUUCUCUUGUCAUUUAUAGCUUAGAGUUGCCUCUGUUUGGCUAGAAAUUCCAACAUUGGUUCAAGCUUGCAUGUAUGAACCAAGAAUGCAUGUAUGGUCAUAUUCAGGACCCAAGUCCCAAUGCUUGGAUCGUAGAUAGACUCUAGCAAAAAUUAAUUUUUGAAUGCACCCAAACACAUGGUUUUUUGUUUCUCAGUAAUAAUGGUAUCUUGUCUCUCUAUGUCCUUGUCCUGUUUAUUCUCCUAUGUCAACAUCAUGCAUGGUUUCACAUUGAAUGGAAUCGUGUGCUCUAUAAAUGCGUGCCCACUUCAAAGGAAAUGUUUCAGCUGCUUAGUUUGGAAGUUCACAGCAUUCUUCAGUUCUUAAUUAGACAAUGGAUCAUCUCAGCUUUGGGAAUGCCUAGGUCCAACACAAAGGAUAAUGCUUUUUAAGUGCUCAGAAGUAAAAUAAGAAGGUCAACAAGAUAGUGAAGUAUUUAUGAGGAAUAUAUUUCAUUUGCAUAGUUCCUAAUUCAUAUUAUUUAUGACAGAUUUCUAUUACAUUCACAAAUCUUUUUGUUAGUAAUAAUAACAUACUCCUCCCUUUAUGAGAUUCAGAUUGACUGUAGAUACAAUCAGUGCUUAGACCAGAUCCAGAAUGUGAUAUCUGCAUUUAAUAAAGCAACCGAGUCAGUAACUCCACAACUGCAUGCCCACUUUGCUCUUCAUACAAUCUCUGUGAAUUAUAAAAACCUGAGGGAGAGAAUUACAAGCAGGAUUCUUUUCACUGGUCAACAACUAAGCAGCAAAUGCACCAAAGAACAGGAGAAAACCUUGGAAUCUUCCUUAAUCCAGAAACAAUGGGCUUGGGCUUUGCAGCAGAUGAGGGAAGAUCAGCAAUCUUGGAGACCCCAAAGGGGCUUGCCUGAAAAAUCUGUCUCAGUUUUACGAGCAUGGAUGUUUCACAAUUUUCUUCACCCGUGAGUUGCCUACUUCUGGGAUGCUUGUAAAAUAGAAAUAGUUAUUGUGACAAUGGCCUUGAUAAGUGAAAACGAAAUUUAAUUCUGAAUGUGCUUUGAACAUCUCUCAGGUACCCAAAGGACGACGAGAAACAUUUGCUUGCAUUAAAAAGUGGAUUGACGAGGAGCCAGGUAGAAUGAAUUCUGAAUUUAUCAUCUGGGGACGGUCCUUUCCUGCAUGAGGUCCAUUCCUAUAUUUGUAUCUCAUAUUUUGGUUUGGAUAGCUUCAGAUUGGUUGUCUCCCUCAUCAAGACCAUGUUAUAUUAAAGGAUCAGCUCAGUUCAUAUUACUGCUAGAAAUCAAUGCAUUUGUUGUUGGCAAAUUAGAACUGCACUCUAAUAAUCCAACCUGUGCAUUGGUUUUGCAACCUAGCAUAGCCUUUAAUUAGUUAUUCUCUUUAUCACAAUCUCAGGUAUCCAACUGGUUUAUAAAUGCACGGGUUCGUCUAUGGAAACCCAUGAUAGAAGAGAUGUAUCUGGAAUUCAGUAAAAUGAAUCGGAAUGGGGUUACAGGGGCUGAUAGCAGGAGCCAUUAAACGGUCAGCAGAAAAUCCAAAUCAAUCCAAGUAUGUUGAUUUUGUUUAUCAUGCAUCUUAUACCUGUUAGAUAGAUGGUGCAUGCUGAUUCACCUAUCUAAAAUGUAAGUUUUAUUGCUUUUGGUUAACUGUUGGCAUCUGAUCUAUUGCAAUUCAGUUAUACGCUGCUGUCCUAGGAACAACGAAAUUACUGGAGGAAUAAUGGGAUAUAAUGAUACUUUUGGCAAAUGGAGGAAAUCUAUUGUGGAGUGAUCAAUUGUUCAGUUUGGUAUUUUCUGUUGAUGAUCUGAAUUGUACAUGAAACAUUUGCGAGAAUGUCCAUGACAUGCUAGUCCAAAUAAAAGGUUGAUAGUGCAAAGAUAUUCUGCAUGGAACAAAGGCUUUGUUUUUGAUGGACAUGUUGUUAUGGUGCAUGCUUAAUACCCUUCAUUUAUAAAACCAUAAAACAUGAAAUGAGAUCUAUUGCUUUCUUAAAUGGUCAAGUUUAUGAAAAUUAUCAGUACAAUGCAUGGCAAAGAGUGAAAUACUCCUUGGGCAAUACAAUAGCACGUAAGGUCAGUAUUCAGGACCCAUGGCCGAAUCCUGUUUUCUUUGGGCUGUGCAUCAAGUAUUUGUCCACUUGGGAGUUCAACAUGGGACAUGGCAGUGUUGCUAUACUUUAUCACUUGCAUCCUGGUAAACCACCUCUGUUUCCUCUGUUGAAAUUGCAUGCGACGUUGGUGAUGGUGCAGGAGAUGAACUUCUCGCAUGCAAUUGAGUUGGAGCUGCUAGAAAUUUCUUGCACUGAAGCCUGAACAAGUUCAGUAUUGUUUUCCCAUUCAGUUCAAACCAUCUUCAUUAUUCUGAUUAACCUGGUACUGUUUGUGGUGCCUGGCCUGGUAUGUUUGUCUCGUCAUUUAUUUUGCAUAUAUUAUAUUUUAUUCUUUAGAGGGUUGUUAACUCUACAUUUUCUUGCUGUUAUAUCUCAUUUUGUAACUUUAAGUACAAAUAGGAUCUCUGUAAUGCCUCUGAUGCCGGUUAUAAUGAAUAUCCUGUCUAUUAUAUUGACAUGGUUUGAACUUUUAUCUGGAAGUCUUAAGCAACAAAAUCAUUCAGAGCUUCGGCAUCUGCCAAGCUUUGAGUCACAUGUAAGAAUCUGGUAGAAGAAAUGAGCUGCUGCAGCUUAAUGCUUUUCAGGCAAUAUUAUCACUCUCAUUUCUACCCCAGGAAUGUUUUAUGUUUGCCAUCUCUCCUAUAUAUGUCUUCAUCUCAAACAGCCGUAAGCAUCGCAUAUUUGCAGUAGUGCAAUAUCUCUCUAAUAAGCUUAUGAGAGAGAGAGAGAUUUGUUUUGGUCUUUCAGUUUAGUCAUGAUUUUGCAUUGCAACGGUUCGCAAACAAUAUACUAUCGAGCAUGGAUGAAGAAAGUUUUUCGAGCAGAGGGAGGCUAAUGCAUGGGGAUUAUUGAAAAUAGAUGAUAGAGCCUAUGGAAUAUUGGCUUGAUGGUGAUGAAAUGAGUGAGCCAUGUCUUUUUGUGUAUGCAAGAAGUUGAAAUUAUUAGUGUGAGGAUAUGUGCAGACGCGUAGUUAGUCCCAUAUUAAUUAUUCGCCGUAGAGAUGUUUAAUACUUAUAUAAGAUUAAGAAAUUUAAAAAAAUACUUUCUGACUAGCUAUUUUAAAUGAAGUUUUGGUUGUUACAAAUGGUAUCAGAGUGAGUGAAUUAGGGAAUAUUAUAGUCCAAGUUCAUAGAGGGUCGAUUGUGAUGUUUGUAAUUAGAUUUGAAUGAAUUUGAAUUUUUAAAUUGGCAAGGACGUGAUAGAUUUGAAUGGAUUUGAAUCUUUAAUUUAACGAGGACGUCAGAGCUUGUAUUGGGAGGAGUAUGUGAAGAUCUGUGCGGGUAUGUGUUUAGUUUUACAUCGGCGAAUUAAAAAAAUAUUUUUCAGUUAGUUAUGUGGUAUGAAGUUCUAGGUUGUUACUGAUAACCAGAAAGGUAAAAGGUACCCUGGACUGGUAUUCAAAUUUCAAUGAGGGAACUAAGGCCUGGAUGGUGGCCGUUUUAAGAUGCAUCAGCCUUGUCCCUGCGCCUUUCCACUCUCUGUCCUCAUAUUAUCUUACAUGGAUUUAUCAGAAAAAUAAAAAUAAAUGAUUCACUGUACUAAAGCAUAUAUAUUGUUUUGGUGGGUCCAUGUAGCUGUUUGGUGUAUUCAAUGCAUUUUCUUUUCUUUUUUUUUAAAAAAAAAAGUCUUGGUGACGUAGUUGAGCAGGCGGGAAUGAGGUCUCCCUCUUGACCAGUUUACGUCUGGUCUCUUUAUUCGACGAAACCCAGUUUUGUUUGACAUGGAACUCUGAAUCCUAGCAAGUGGUUAUAUUUAUUUCAUGAGGCAUGCUUCAUGCACACUCCUAAACAGAUAAAUUCAGGUAUUUUUUUAAUUUUCUUUUUUCUUUUUGAGGUUACACUGCUAGUGACGGCGUAGGGAAAGAAUUGGGAUCUCUUACUCUAUGUUCUCUUAUGUAAUGGCUAUGGUUUAUAGCUAUUGGACGUAAGAAGGAAGGGAUGAAGGAUCAUGAAUCAAACCUAAACUUCAUGCGCACACCCUAAAGAUUGGGCGUCUUGCUCCUGCAUCAGAUAGUGGGAUACAUAUAUGAAAAGAAAAAUACCCAGCUAAUUUGCUACUCUCUUUCGCAGCAGAAAAUUAUGUUUCAGUUUGUAACUUUCUUUUGCUUUCUCUCGUAAUUCCUCCAAGGCACAAGGUUAGUUUAAGACUCACGCCUGUUUGACACCCUAACCAUAUGCUUUCCCAAGAGAUUUCAUUAAGUGCGAUGAAUUAUUUGAGGUAGGCACUGAGGGAAAUGAAAGCUCUCUGCAGUUUCUUUGCACAAGCUCACUUAUAGCCCACAGAAUGGCACGACAGAUACAUUAAUUUAUGCCAUACGAAACGAAUGGAGCUUGGGUCCCAAUUAUUUUUUGCUGAAGACUUUGAUCACAUUGUCGUUGUAUUGGGAGACCAACGGGAGAGUGCUGCGGCCACCCAAAUGCAGUAGAGAUUGGUCAUUAUCGCAUGGCAUGUAGUAUCUUUUAGAUUUUAUGCGGAGACACAAAGUUUUUAUACAAUCUUUAAGCUAGUGGAGUGCUACAUGCUAUAGCAACGUGAUAUCAUAUGCCACGAGUAGAGUUCAGUUUUUCCACUUUAAUUGUUACUUCCUUUUUCACCUAGCUAGUAUCUCACUAGUUUUCUUGUUUCCUCAAGAAAGAACAAGUUCUUGGGGAUUCGUAGUCACCAGCAAAAUUCACCAUCUUGAUAUCCAUACAUGUACCAUUCUAUUGUUGUAUCAGUACAUUCAAUAUGAGAGAUAGUUCGACAUAGCGAUACUCGAUACGUCUUUUGUACUGCAUAUCAGUUCAUCACCAAUUGGAUUGGCGACAUGGCAAAUCAUGGUUACCGGUAUCAAAUAUCUGACUAGCUAUUCAUUGAUGGUUUUAACGUUUAUGGAUGUUAAACGAAGGCAUUUGCCUGUCAUGUAGGGGAUGAUCUACGAUGUUCUUGAUUAUUGAAAAAUUGUAGAUGUUGCAAGAGAUUAGUCAAGAUCAAAUAGGCAUGCCUUCGACCUGUCUAAAGUUGUGAGCCUUUAUUUUCUUCGCUCCUACGCAUGCACCAUAAAGAAAGGUGGAAUUGAAAUCGAAGUAUGUUUAUCAAAAAUGAAAAAUCAAAGUAUGAUAGAAAAGUCAAAGUUGUGAGCCUUAAUCCUCUUCUCUCCUAUGACGUGAUAUGUGAAAAAUCCAAAAUGAAAAAACAAAGCAUGUUCAUUAAAAACCAAAAAUCAAAAUAUGAUAGAAAGCUACAACUACCUACGUAUGACGUGAUAUGUGAUAUAUAUUAUCUAAUUGGGAGGAUCUAAAUUCAUAUUAUAGAGUUUUUCUCUUGGAGAGUUGCGUGGGGAUAGCAUGACAUCCUAACAAAUGCUAUUGAUAUAUUGCGAAUUGGAUUUAUUUUUGAUAAUUGGUGAGGUGCAUUCCAUUCACAAGCUAACAGAAACAUCCCAUCAUUAUAAGGAGCUCAUACAACAUUCAUUCUUUUCCUCUCGGUAUUUAUGUGUUUGUGUGCAUGCGCUUGUGUGGGUGUGGGCGCGCACAUAGAUGCCAAUAUCAUCUCCUCCAAUUGAUACCGCUCAACAUAUAAAUUUAGGUUCGCACUUGCGUUUGAUUUGGCCUGCAACAAAACUCUACGAUUUCUAUAUCAUGUAUAGAUCAUUUUCAUGUAUUAAGCACUAUCAUUUAAAGAAAAUAUAAUGAAAUUUGCUUAUACCCAACAGAUAUUGCUUUGGGGUUAAUACUUUAUAGGCCUUUAAUACAACUACUUAUUAUUAUUAUCAAAAUCUUUAGCCAUCAAAUGUGGUUUCAAUUGAGGAGCACCACUCCAAGUUAAGGAGCCUUAACAAAAAAACUUUUGAGAAGAUCAUACAGUUAGCUAUUGGCCCAAACACCAGCUCUCAUGUAUCAAUAUUAAAUUCUCCAUCAAGACAAAUUUACAUAAGUGAGGAGGUUAUUGUAAAACCCGCUCAUCUGAACAAAAAUCAUAUGGGGCAGGCGCCAGAGAAAGAAAUAUGGAGUGUGCUUCUUAUUUUGUCAUGUUUUCCUGAAUACUUAUUGAAAAAAAAAUAUAUCUAAAAGUCAUAGACACAUCUAAUUAUGUACACACUACAUGGCUAGGUGAUACACAUCAAGUAAAUUAAUCAUUUAACAAGUUAAUACAUACCUUUAGAUAAAUUGAUACACCGUUUUCAAAACAUGAUAUUCAUCAGUAUACAGUACACGACCAAGUUAUAGACACUUAGCAAAUCAGUUAUCUAAUAAUCUAAUAUACAUUUUCAAACAAAUUGAUACAUAGUUUCUAAAAUAUCAUAUACACUAGUACACACUAUAUAGCCGAGUGAUACACACUCAUCGGCUUUCUGAUACACAUUGCAAGCCUUUUUAAUACACACCUAGCAGUAAUCCAAUACACACCUAUAUAUAAAUCAAUACACAAUUUUCAAAACAUACUUUUAUUAGUACAUACUACAUAGUCAGGCGAUACACAUCAAGCAAAUUAGUCAUUUAACAAGUCAAUACACACAUCUAAGUAAAUUGAUAGACAGUUUCCAUAACAUGGUAUUCAUCAGUACUAAUACAUAGUAUAUAAUUUUGUAGCUUUGUCUAAGUUGCUAAGUGUAUAUUAUCUGGUCAUAUAUUGUGUACUAGUAAACACUAUAUUCUCAAAAUUGUGUAUCAUUUACCUAGAGAUGUGUAUUGACUUGCUAGGUAAUUAAUUUGCUUGUGGUGUAUCAUCUAACCAUGUAGUAUGUACCGGUAAAAAGUAUGUUAUGAAAAUAAGAAAAAAAAGGAAAUGCCGUACAUUUUUUUAAUUACAAAAUCAAUAGAUUCAUUAGUAAAAAGAGUUAACUUUUAGGUUUCUUCUUUGACAUUGGUAUUAGAGGAAAAGUGGCAAAAAAAAAAAAGAAGCUUUGUUUGUUCUCCUUGUCCCGUUAGAAAGGAGGAUGAUUCAUCUUAUUAAUUAUAAUUUAAUCUCAUGGUGCCUAAAGGCAGCUUGUAGGAAAUUUCUCAAAACUCUUAAAAGUUUAACAUAAGGAGCAAAAUAAUAAACUUUUGAUAAAGGAGAUCAUCUUUCAUCCCCAAACCGAACAUAUAUAUCAUUCUGUAGCCACUUCAUCAGUGAUGACACUUUAUUAGUUAGGUCUUAUAUGAUUUAUUCCAAAUUACCUUUCCAUUAGUGGAUGAUUAAAAAGUAGCACAUUUUCAGCAAAUUCAUAUUAAAAACUCCAAUGAGUCAGAAGGCUAGCUAGAUACAACAAACUUUUGAUUCACUAAUAUGUUAUAAUAAAAUACACCAAAAGUUGCAUCAGCCACACCAUUGGUGAAGGUGAGCUCCCCCAAAUCCUCCGAAGGCAGCCAACGACCCAACUUCCUUUUAGGAACACCCCUUAGCGUGGUAGUACUCUUCACAACUCAGUAUUAUUAUCCUUCAAAAAAACAAAAAAAUCAGAGUCACUGCCCUCAGGAAUCUAAACACCACAAUAAUAAAAGUACCCAUACAAAGAAAAAUCUCAAAAUAUUAUAUAUAAUUUUUUGCAUAAAUAUUUUUCUAAAAAAUUAAAUUUGUAUAAAUAUUUUUUUAAAAUUUAUAUUUAUUUCUGUACUUUCAUAAAAUAUUGUUUUGCACAAAUACCGCUAUUCUAACACCGUUUAUAAAAACCAUAUUAUUUUAAUUAAAAAUAAAAUAAAAUUUUAAAAUUAUUUUUUUCCUUCAUCACAAUCAUCUUAUAAAUAUUUUUUUCGCAUUUACUCAUUAAUAUUAUUUUAGUUAUUUUAAUUUAAAAUCGUUAAUUUUUUAACAGUAUUCGAUGAUAUAGGUAUAUAUAUUAAAAUAAAAAUAAAAAAAUAAAAUAGCAAAAUAAGUAUUAAAAAAAGUAUAUAUGCAAAUAUUAAUUUUUAAAAAAAUAUAUAAAAUUUUAUAUUUAGAAGAAUAUCCAUUAUAAUUUAGAACCGAGAAAAAGUCCAUCCGACCUUGAAUAUAAUGGUUCAAACUAAAAAAAAAAAACUAACCUUUUUGACGAUCGAAUCCAAUUUUUUUCUUCCACAUUAAAUCACACCCCUUCUCCCGUUCUAGUCACCUCCUCAACCCAACCACCACCACCAGUGACCGGCGGCGGAGAGAAAGGAGAAAAGAGAGAGCGAGGAGCGACAAGAUGCCGGCG